AAAGCGAAAUGUUUUGCAGCGAGUCAAGCGUAAUACAAUCAAAAGGAAAUGGGGUCGAUGCUAAAACUCAAACAGUUCCCCAGAGGGGGCCCCGGGUUGAAAGAGCGAGCUACAUUCUUUCAUAGAAGACAGAAAAUAAGAGGACUGAUGCUUUCUUACUUCAUCUUAAUAUAAGGAUUAUAGCAUUGGAAUUAUGGAAUUUGAAUGGAUUGAGUACAUCAAGAUGAAGAAAUUAACGUAAUAAGCGAUAUUCUCAAAAGAUUCAGUCAUGCCAGAAACCUCAGUGUGCAUGGCACUAAAAAAGGGUACAAAGAACCUGAGAUGCAAGUAAUGGCUGAAUAGCCGGGGAAACACUAAAUAAAGACAAGUGUCAUCCGGACUUACUUGAUUGAUUGAAUCGAGAGAUGGAAAUGCCAUUGAGAGAUUAGAAGGGAUAGAGAAAACGUCAGAUAGAGGUCGUGCUUCUGCUCAGUCCAAAAGAACAAUCUGAGUGAGGAUAAGGUGGUUUAUGUUAGGGUCCGAGAAAGCAACUUGACAUGCCAAUCCUAACAAGAAUUCCACUCUUUCUGGUCAUGUCAGAAACCACCUCUUGGAAAGCAGAUCGAAAGCCAAUCAUUUCAGAAGAUGAUGACCCUCUUGUGCUCCUACGUUCCUGCUAGUUGGUGGAUGAAGAAUAGGAGAGAGCUUGCUUGAGUAGAAGAUAACCCGCGAGAAGGAUGUUUUGUAGCGCUUUCUCAUACAAAAGGAAAAGGCGUCACGACCGAAGAUAAGGAAAGAUCCCAGCUUUUCAUUGCUCUGUCGCGCCACCCCUCCUCCCAGAGCCGGUUCUUAUCCAUAGAUUUUUCAGCUAAAAGAUACGGUAUAUAUAUCAAUGAAAGCUGGCGCCUUUGGUUCUUGGUACGACUGGUACUUUUUCUCAUUUAUCGGUCUAGUUGGAAAAAUUUCCCCUCAAAGAGCAAGUUUGUCUUAUAUAUUAUGCUGCGCCCUUGCCCUUCCUUUCUCUUCUAUAAAAAGGCUGGACGUCAAAUGUAACUGAUGCUUAUAUUCUAAAUAUGACAAGCAAGAAACCUACUAUUGCCGUAAACAAAAACCAAAACAUUAGUAACUAACAGAGCUUUCCUAUUCUAACUAUUUCCCUAUAAACCAUGAUUGAUAUACCAAUCAAAAAAGACUUCUGAAACUAAACUAUUCUAUUGAUUUAUGCCCGUGCUUCUUCUUCUGUUUUUGUACGCAGAAGGAUGUCUAGGAGGAACAGAUCACUGAGGUUAAGGAUGAGAAGGUGAAAAGUGAAGAUAGAGAAUAGAUGCCAUGAACAAGUGUAUCAAUUCAAGAGUUAAGGAAUACUAUUGGGAAGAUUGGGCAUUGGGUUCAUCUUGUUAUUGACCAUCCCUUUUCAACACAUAUCUUUUAGUAUACGUCUUUUUUAGUUGCUUAAAGAUUUCAGAUAUUGCUUUUUCUGUUAUAGGAAGUGUUGCGUUCCCCUUUAGGGUGUUUGUCAGUGGCGUCACCCGAUAGGGUGUGUGCCCGGAAGAGAGAAGAAAAACAUGUUGCUUGCUAUUUCUGGUUGAAGAGCUAUUUUUUCCUAUCGAACAGGAAUUCCGAGGGAUGUUUUUUGUUGUCGAUUUGUAGCAAUAGAAAGAUAAUGGAAGUGAUUGAAUAAGUUGGGGCAAAGUGAACUAAAAAGAUUCGAUGAACUGCUGCAAAGUGAACUGACCGGGGGGCAGCCAUGAAAGGCUGACUUUCUUAGGAAAAGCCAUCUGGGCAAGAGAUCGUCAGAUAAACCAAACUGCCGACCUACUGUCUGUACUGCGUCGGAUCAGAUAAUGGUGAGCCAUCAGUCGGACGGACUUUAACGUAAAGCUCCAAGGGAGUGUCAACAGUCUUCUCAUCAUUGAGUUGAGCUCGAGUGCUCAAGUCAUGACGUUAUUUGAUCUGAGAUACCAAAUAUCCACGAGGAGAAUGUGCGACCUCCAAGCCAAGAAAAGGCUUAGGGCGCGUCAGCGCCUUCAUAGCAAAUAAUUGAUGAAGGCGACACUUGAUCAGCGAUAUGGUAACGGAGUAAUCACCAGUCAGUUUGAUAUCAUCAACAUACAACAACAGAAUAGCACGUCCUCGAGGAUAAACUGAUACGAACAUGGCCGAAUCAUGAUCACUCCGAGCAAACCCUGCCUGGAUAACAUAACCACUGUGCUGAACUUCAAAAACCGACGCUAUCGGGGCUUGUUGAGACCAUAGAUCGCUUUGCGUAAAGGACAGACAAGAGAAGAAGUCAGAAGGGCAGGUUCUCUUUCAUCCGUCUUUUCUAGCUGCGCAUCUCCAUCUACUAAAAGUAGGGGUGGUUGCCAUAGAUAGAUUGGGUCAUUCGUAACCUGAGCAAUAACCGAUGCUACUACAGCAAUAACGGAAAUAACCGAUGCUACAGCAGAAACUACAGCUAUACGUGGCGGCCCCACACGCAGCUUUGUUUAACAAGCAUCACCCUUCCUUUCUUUUCAAAUGCUUCCUCAGUCAAUCAGCAGCUUAUUCGAUUCCUAUUCUUAUUAAACAUCUGAUAUAGAUGGUGGGAACAAUGAAGCAGAUUCUUCAUCUGUAGGUUGCAAUCCGUAUGAUUUCUUUUCUCGAUCUCCUGCUUGUGUUUCACCUCGCACCUAAGCAUCACGUUCCUAGGGACAGAGACAUCUGCGCUCUAAGGCAAUCAUAGUACUACCAGCAUGGUUACAUCAUUCUGCGGGCAAGCUUCAACUUCAAAGUCACCUGAUUUGGCACCAGCCAAAGGAGUAGGAACAGCAGCUGGGGAAGCACCAUUACCAUCCAUGGGAUGCUUUGUGAACAGCCCCCUCUGUUCAAUACCGAUACCUGUCAGAUUCCAUAGCUGAUGAAUCUCUUUCUUUUUCCACUCUUUCCCCGUCACGCAAGACGCUUUUCUGGCACAAACCUAGUAGUUAUUUGUCCUGCUGAUCUUGGGUGAACUGAUGACACUGAUGCUCCAAGACCAAGAGUUUUCACAGCCAAAGCUACUGAAGCUGCUCCCUCCCAUGAAUCACAGCUUUCUGGACGCACUGCUUGAACACCAUGGAGCAAGAUAGAGAAAAAACUCCUAUCCCAGUUGAUCGAGCUGAACCCACCCACCGCCGGGCAGGUGCAUCAGCCUCUUCUUUCUAGUUUCCGACAGGGCUACCCGCACUAGCCUCUGACCUCUACUCCAAAACCUGAACUUCACAGAUCCGAAGCCUAAACCUUCACUACUUCCAUCACUUCACAGAGCAGGUCUUGUUUUCAAACUUGCUUUCGGGUUAAGUGCAGAAAAUCAAUUCAAUAUUCCUGUCAUUGAGGAUCUAUUAGAUGAGCUACAUGGUGCACAACUGUUUUCCAAACUUGAUUUGAGAUCAGGUUAUCAUCAGAUAAGAAUGAGAAGAGAAGACAUUCCAAAAUUUUAGGACAUAUUUUUGUCAUUAUGAAUACUUAGUGAUGCCAUUUGGACUCACUAAUGCACCUGCUACCUUCCAUUCUUUAAUGAAUCAUGUUUUUGCUCCGGAAAUACCUUUUGGUAUUCUUUGAUGAUAUUCUGAUAUAUAGCAAGACCAAACAAGCUCAUCUCAAGCAUCUAAAGUUAGUCCUGGACAUUCUAAGGUCAUAAAAACUAUAUGCUAAGAUUAGCAAAUGAAGUUUUCCUGUCCCUCAAGUGGAGUAUUUAGGGCAUGUUAUCUAAGGAUAGGGUCUAUCUACAGACCCCCACAAAAUAGUUGCCAUCAAAGAAUGGCCAGCACCUAAGACUAUCACUCAGUUGAGGAGUUUUCUUGGUAUGGCUGCAGAAAAAGAAGAUUUGUCAAGAAUUAUGGGAAAAAUUCUAGGCCACUUCAUGACUGUCUAAAAAAAGAAGCAUUCCAGUGGUCAGAUGCUCAAAUUGAGGCCUUCACAACAUUGAAGAAUUGUCUGGUCACUGCUCCUGUUAUGGCUUUGCCUGAUUUGACCCUACCAUUUACUUUUUAAACAGAUGCAUCAGGUCAAGGUAUUGGUUCUGUCCUCAUGCAACAAGGCAGACCAAUUGCUUAUUUCAGUAAAACCCUUGGACCCAGAAAUGCAGCUAUGUCAACUUAUGAUAAGGAGAAGCUUUAGCUAUUUGUGAAUCCUUGAAGAGAUGGCGCCACUACUUUCUUGGUUCCCAAUUCUUUUAUUGAUCAAAACUGAUCAACAGAGCCUUAAAUACAUCACAGAACAAAAAGUCUCUGAGGGCAUCCAGCACAAGCUUAUGUGAAAAUUGCUUGAAUUCAAUUACAAGAUUGAAUACAAAAAAAAGAAAACAAGGUUGCAGAUGCUUUGAGCAGAAGAGAUUCUCUUAUGAUGGCAGUGACUGCAGUUACUCCUGCUUGGGCUUCAACUGUAGAAACCAGCUACACUAAUGAUGAUCACUGCAAAUCUCUGCUUGAGAAGCUCACUGUAUCAGCCAAUGCAGCACCCCCUUAUACUCUUCAUUCUGGCAUUUUGAGAUAUAAAGGAAGAAUAUAUGUGGGAUCAGAUGCUGUUCUUAAACACCAAAUCAUUGAUUCACUUCACAACUCUCCCAUAGGAGGCCAUUCAGGCAUUGUGGCUACUUAUCAAAGGGUAAAAAAGCUAUUUGAUUGGCGCCAGGCCAGGAGAUUGAAACUUUUCUACAUGAGUGUGCAGUUUGACAAAGAGUCAAGGAAGAGCAUUGCCACUACCCUGGUCUCCUAGAUCCACUGCCAUUACCUACUUCUGCUUGGACUGACAUCUCCCUGGAUUUCUUUGAGGGUCUUCCCAAAUCAUUGGGCAAAGAAGUCAUAUUGUUGGUGGUGGACAGGUUCACUAAAUAUUCUCAUUUCAUUCCCCUUGCUCACCCUUAUACAGUACAAUCAGUCUCUCAUGCUUUCAUGGAUAAUGUUUUUAAGUGGAAUGGAUUGCCAAAGUCAAUAGUCUCUGAUAGAAACUGGAUAUUCACAAGUAACAUGUGGCAGGCCUUCUUCAAAGCACUGCAAGUUAAAUUGAGGUUUAGCUCUGCCUAUCACCCACAAUCAGAUGGCCAGACAGAACGUGUGAAUCAGUGUGUGGAAAAUUACUUGCGUUGCAUGGUUUUUCAGCAACCAAGGAAGUGGGCUAGUUUGGAUCAAGCAAAUGCCACUUGGGAGGAUGCCGACUUCAUCAAAGGUCUCUUUUCGGAGUUCUAUACAGCUCCUAUUCGUGGUUGGUGCCCUAAUUCCAACACUUGACAAUGCUUUGGGGGAGGUAUUGUCAUAUCUGAAGAUUACUGUACCUAACUCUCGAUUGAAUUCAGAGUGCUGCCUUUACUUCAUCUGCCGUGAACGGAGCCAAGAGGCUUGCGUUCAUUUCUUCAGUUACUCGCCUGUUUACUUUCCCCAGUAGCCCAGGGUCGGGAGCUAGGACUUCUGAGGUGAACAGUCCCUCAAAGUAACCCUGUAUCAGAGAUGCUAACUGGUCAUUACCUUCGAUCCUGUUGCCGUUUGAGUCAUUCAGAAACUUUAUUAUGUUCUUCUUUUUUCUCCGUUGCAAAAUGAUGUGAUGAAAGAAGCUCGUAUUUCGGUCUCCAUGGCGGAGCCAAUUAGCCCUUCCUCUUUGCAGCCAUUAAUCCGAGUGCAAACUCUCUCAAUUAAGUGUUGGAAGCAGUCGCUCCUAUCCACUCCUACCAGGGAGGGGAGCCCCAAGUAUUUGUCAGUGAGCGAUUCGGUGACAAUAUUCAGCAGGUCCUUGGUAAAACUCUCUUCAUUGAAGGCAGUACGUGGGUAUCCAUCUUAUCUACGGUCUGCGGGUCAUCCACAUGACCAAAACAAAGGGUACGAAAGCAGUGAAACCGAUAUAUCUGUUGAAGGCGAUCCCACCGGUCCUAUUUAUUAAGUUGCAAUGGCGAGUAUCUUUGGACCCCAAAGAGUUGUAUAAGUUGGAAAAUGGAGAUUUGCCUGUGGCAUUGGCCGUUGGGCAGCUAGCUAUUGCAUUUGAAGGCUCCACAGAAAGAACCCGCAGGUACUAUUACGACAGGUGGCUUCGAAUCCAGUUUGUUAGUUGUUUGCAUCUCGGUUAACAAAAAUAAGCUGGAAUCCCUCCAUUCGUAGAUCAAUCAGCUAAAGUUGUUAAAACAAUGCCCCGGUAAAAAGGUAGCAGAAGGUCGUUCUUUCUUACUCUAAGUUGCACUCAGGUGCUGCCGUUUUAGAGCUAGGCGAUAUUCUCUGUGUAAACCAGUAUCGUAUCUGUUCGAUAUGGACCAUUCUAUAAGUAUAGUCAUUUCAGUCUUCCUCAAAGGAUCUCCGAUCUAUUGUGCAACCUUCCCUUCGAAACCCACCCCACACGAAUACUUCUACCCCUUAUCACAGCUCCAAUGCCCACAGGCAUCUGUCUCUAGCACAAAUCUUUUACUGAAAUCAGGGAGAACCAACACAGGGGCCUCAAUUAAAGCUUGCUUGAGAACAUCAAAGGAUUGCUUUGGCUUGUCCACACAAAUGGUACUCCUUUCUUUAACAAGUUCGUGAGAGGUCUCCUAAUUAUGUAUAUACAGGAUGAGUCACAUCUUGACCGGAGCCAUGCGGAGCACAAAAAGUGAAGAGAAAGGAUUUGUUCACCACUUUAAGCCAAAAGAUAGAAAUGAAAGCUGUUCCCAUAGAAUGAGAUUAGAUCCCGCAAGUGAGCUAUUUAUACCGAAGCUUACAAGAAGCAAAGUUGAAACGGGAGCUUUCCCACCACGGCAUCCAACUCUUCUCUUCCGUAAGCAAAGGGGCUUUCAACGAGAUAGGGAGCUGUACAAUUUCACCCGUGGGUGGGGCUGGCUACGCUUGCUAGAUUGGAUCAAAUAUACGUGUCCUACGCUAGGCGGAAUCGUUGUUUCACUCCUCCAAGCGUUCCUUGCCAAUGGGUAAAGCCUUUAUCUAUCACUUCGGUCGGAGACAUAUUAAUUACCUUUUUUAUCCUUGGACCCUUGAAAGCUCGCUUCCCUUCCUGAACUGAGGGAAACCGGUGCCUGAGAGAUCCGUUAUCUGCAGUCUCUGAGCUUGAUUGGACAUCUUUUCCUGCUCAUACAUGUGUUUUUGCACGCUUGAGACCUCCUCUUUCGCUUGGCUAUCCGAGGAAAGAUGUCUUACGAGGUGGGUUGGACAACGUACGUAGUGAGCCUGCUGCUAUCAGUGUGAAGAUGAGCAUCUAUCUUUCUUUUCAGGAUUUAGUGUGUGUGUGCUUGUUCUUAAGGGAACGUGCAAAUCACCCAAUCAUAUCAGGAUGGAUCCAAUGGGUGUGAUUUUUGUCUGUAUUGAUCACUUACCCACGCUAUAAGAAGAAGGGCGUCAUGGAAGAGUUUGGGGUCCAAAGCCACACCUUCUUUCCCCCAUAGGAACAGAGGUCAGGAGCUGCCGGCAGGGCGCUGCAUUCAAUCUGACUGAUGGCUCAAGAUAAGUACGAGACGUACUUGAGAUAGAUAAUUUAUGUAUUUCGCUAUUUCGAAUACCUAAACUGCUGCUAACAAGAAUAAGUACUGAGAGAUUGGAUCUCCCUGGCGUAGUCCCUGAGAAGGUUUGAAUUCCUCAAGAUGCUCCCCAUUGAAAAGAACCGAGAAGGUAACUGAAGUCACUAACCUCAUCACCAUAGAAAUCCCACCUUCGCUGAAAAAAAGUGGGCUGGAUAGCCGUCCAGGCCAGGGGCCUUUCAGGGUACAUCUUAAAAAGGUCACACUUCAGAACCAGUAAAGGGCGCAGUCAAUUGCUCAUUCAUUGCCUGAGAUACUUUCCGAGGAACUGUCGACAGAACGAACAUCCUCCAUUCUUUCAGUACCUUCAGCAGUAUAGAGAUGUUUAAAGAACUCAUUCGUCAUCCCACUCAUCUCCUCUGAAGGGACAACGAAGGAUUGUCUGAAGUAGGACCUAUUCGUAGCUCAUUUCAAAUGGGCCAAAGAAACUAGGGCCACAGAGACCCCCCCUGUGUCAUGAAAAGAGACACUUUCGGUAGUCACAAAACCCUAUUUUAAGAAAUAAGUCAUUAGAUCCCGUAUCAGCUAUAGCAGUGAAGUUCUCAUAAGCUUUCAUCAUGUCGAGCUUUAGUGCACACACCUGAUCAUCUCGUGCCUCUUAUAUAGUUUCUAGUUUAGGAGUCCGAGCUGGAAGAACAAAAGGUGGAGCUCCGCCCUAGUGUUACCCUUUGCCUCGCUCUUUAGAGGCAUGAGUGGUCACAACUCGACGUAGUCUAGCAGUUCUAUUUGGCGCACGAAUUGCGUAUAGCAAAGUUGAAGAAGGCAUUCUAGGAGCUAAAGGCGUCUCACUCGUCUCUCAUUCGCUCGAUGCUUAAGUACCGGUUUGCUUCUACGUCUACGGUUGAACUUGAAGGCCUCGGAUUCUGAAACCUGUAGAGCUUGCACGGUGAAGAACAAGUACGUACUUCAUACGAAGAAAUGGUAGUCGGACUCCUCUGGUUUUCUCCACAGUAGGAGUAAGCAUAAUCCUAAAGCCGGCCCAAUGGGCUAUAUUUCUUUAGAGUACUCAAAAAGUAUGCUUUUGUCGGAGGGAGAUUGCCGGGUCUAUGUAGAAUAGAGAAGCAGCAAAAGAAAAUAAAUUGAGUAGCCAAAGGCCUCGUGCACAGUAUGGAAGGAAGAGGAAAAAUGCACGGUACGCAAUGUAUGAUGAUGAACGUAUGGAGUUAGUUCGGUGGGUUGGUUGGGGAGUAGGGCCGGGGGGAGAAACUUGUCCCUUCUUGAUGGCGAGUAUAUGCUUCGAUCGAUUCUUGUGCUCCCUAUGCGCGUGUUCUUGAUCACCGAACAAGUUACAAAAUAAGUUUAUGCGCUCCUAUCCUUGUUCUUGUGAGUCCUUGUGAAGCUACAUUGGUGAUGGUUGGUGGUAGAUGCGGAUUACAAGCGAGCUCUGGAUGCUACUCUUAGGGAUAUUAUUACUGUGCUUUUUUGCUAUGGUUAGUCAUGAUUACUGAUCAGUUGAGCAGUUCUUUUGAAUGUACCAAUUUUAUUUUUUCAUUUAUUUGUUUCCCCCCAUUUGAAACAGGGCUCAAGUCGCUUCCUGAGAUGCAUUUCACACCUGACUCACCUCCCACGCCUAAAAUGUCUCCAGGUAAACGUUUUUCUGCUUGUCUAGUAAUUCGGUGAAUCUGCGGCCACUAAUGCCAUUCAGAGACUCUUGGCCAUUUCGGCUUUCGCACCAUAUGAUCCCUGCUCAUCUGCCCACAACAAAACGGAAUUUUUUUAUUUUCACUUGCGGUGUUCUCUCCAUUUCUUGUUAUAUGCUGCUAUAGGGCUAUAGGAAUACAGAUUCAAACUUGAUUGUAUGAUAAAACUGAUUAUUGAUUCAAUUCUUCUACUCGCAGCAUCUGUUCUAUUAACUUGUAACUGCCUACUAAUUACAGUAUCGAGUGUCCUGGUGAUGCGGAUGCUAUAUAUAUAGUCUUCUCAAACUCUGAGUGCACAGAUCUGUUAAGUUGUAACUGUACCUUCUAGUUUUUUAAUCUGAGAAAUCGUUGAUCAUCUCAUCCAUUUGAUCGUUUGAACACUUGAAUUAAUAUCUUUGCAGAAUCGUUGAUCAUACUUCGUGUGUACUAAUUGAAAUCAGUUGUGCAUGUCCGUGCUGCUGCCGCCCCAGGACAAGUGAAGUGCCCCCGUCGACUAUGGAGGAGAUACGGAUCUCUUUCAUCUUGUAAAUAAAGUAGGGGCGUCCCUAACUACAGCUUCCUACCAUAAGUCAGACAUUCAGCUAAUACUGAAGAAAUCUUCUUCUGGGGACACCUCUCUAAAAUAAGAAUGAUGGCGUUUUUUAUCUUAUUAGUUUUCUGAUCGAGAAAUGUGAGAAUGUAGUUAUUUUUAUGAAACCGGAUAUUCAACAUGCUUUCCUCGACCAGAUCUAUUUACGGGAGUCGUAUUUCGAACUGACCCCGGGUCUGAUCUACAAAUGGUAAAUCCUAUUUGAUCUUCAAGGUUAAGUACUUCUGCGAGACUAUCAGCAUCUUAUCUGGUUGAUAGCACUCAACCCAGUGACUAUACGUUUUAUAUGGGAGCCCUAACUCCACCAUGCAAUUCAACAAGCUGAGGACGGAGAAGUCAACCGGUCUCACGUUUUCUUCUUUUCUUUUUAAAGAACCUGCCCCGAAGGAAAGCAUAUUAUAGGGGAAGAGCUAGCUUCAUUCGAGCUGGAUGGGCUAAAAGCUUUCGUUGAGACAAAGCAGGCAAAAAAAAGUUCGAGAACAGGAUAACUAACGUUUGGAACCAAGAUAUCUCAUAGUUCUUCAAGUGAGAAGCUGAGAAGGGAUGACACCCAUUUUACCUAGAAGACCGAUGAUCAAGUGUCAAAUUCUAAGCCAAGAGAUGGCAAUGGGACUAUAGGAGCACGGUACUAAACCAUCAUACCAUACCGGUGACUUCACCAACCGAAACCAACUCAAAUAAGUUCAGGGAGGAAAAGAAGACGGUCAUGAUAGAUUGGUGAAUGAGGAAGGAAAAGAAAGCCUAAACUAUCCAAGUAAGAUAGCGAAAGAGAAAGCUGUCUUUAAAGCCUGUUUUGACCAAGCAAGCAAGCUGGAGCACCUUUCACGCUAGCUUCCCAUCGCUCGAAGUACACUUCCGGUGCACUUCUCACUGCUCAACCACUUUAUCUUUAACCUAACCGCCUUCUAAAACUUCCACGGGAAAGCCAGUAGAGUAUGCCUUGGUUUAAGAGAGGAGCUCAGGUCCAUCUUGUGCUCACAAUACAUCUUAUUUAGCAGGACCUCUGGGCUCUUUAGAGAAAGGCGAAGUCUCUACUUGUUAACCAUGGAUGCCUGUUAUAUUUACUUAUAGAGUGAAGAACAAGCCCACUUUCCAUAUCCCUUUCGUCCGGAUGAUCGAUUGCCUCAUUCUUCUUCGAAAAUAAGUGCAUUUGGCCAUUGUGUUUUUCCAACUUUCGUAAUAGAUCUGGGCAUGCAUGGUUUUCAAUAGAUAACCCUAGGCCUUCUUCGUUUCCCCACAGGCAUUCACUUCUCUUCAAGCUCGGGAUUAGCGAAACAUGGAUCCGACGCCCAUCUCUUUUUCCACUUUGCAAGGCUGAGAGACUUUACCAAUUGAGAAAAAAAAGCACGAGCAGGAUCAGCAGAGGCAAAAUCUAAUAAAAUGGCUUAUUUGCACCUUUCUUUGGUAGGCAACGAAUCUCACGGAAUGUGGGAAUCUUUUACAGAUGUGAAUUCUCGCUUUAACGCUUCGAUAACAUACCUAUCAUCAGGUAUCUUCGGGAGCGGGGCUCGCCCUCAACAGAUAUUGUCUUUGCUUUCCUCAGAGGCCCAUUUUCCUGGGCAUCAGUGAGUGGAAUACUUAACAGUGAUUACAUUCUUAUGUAGAUUCCAUUGCUCGAAUGGGACUUGUUUGUUGGCACCGACCUCGAUAAGAAGCAAGGGAGUGGUGCCGAAGCGAACGGAGCUGCAGAGCCGUUUGUUUACCAAUCCGCCAACUUAAGCUAGGAAAAGUGUAAGAGACCGUUCAUCUUCAUGUAAAUAAAGGUAAAUAAUCUCAGAAACAGUCAAGAAACCGGGAAUUUUUAUUCCAUUUCUUAGCCAGGGCAAGCCCUACCGACCUACGACCGGAGAAGAUGUUGUGUUGUUCGUAUCACUUGCUAGAGAUAGAGAAGCUAGAACAGGAACUGCCCAGGAGGGUUCAAAGAAUGAGGUCUUCACCUUUGAGCUGGAUCUCAUCUCAUUCUAGCACAUACUACGAGCGAUUGACUUAAAGAAUACAACAAAUGGUUGUGGGGUUAUCUUUGUACCCUGUGACUACAACCACAAGGUCCGAAUCAAGCGAAACGGCUGAGGCACAAGCCCUUUUCUCGCCACUACUCUGUGUACCCAAAGUCAGCAACCUUUUUGGCAUGCUGGCUAGCAAGUUCAUUGCUUCAAUGACAUGAAUUCAAUCAAGUGGACAAAUCCUAUCCUGGAAAAUAUGGGCAAUCAGCUGGAAACUCAAUAGUCUUACGCGGAAAGCACUCAACCGGCCUUCCUCUUCUGAAUUAUAUGAAUGACAGAAAUCAGUCCUCACUUGUAUUAACUUCAUGAGUGAAGAGAUAGACAAGGUGGUGAAAAGCAUGAAACCAAAUACUGCUCCAGGUCCAGAUGGCUUCUCUGUUAGCUUUUUAGAGCUUUUUGGCCCCAGUUGAGAGAUAUACUAAUCUAAAUGCUUCAGGAGCUGUAUCAUGGCAGGUUGAACUUGUCCAGACUAAACUAUGGUGUCAUUUCUCUACUGCCAAAGAUUAAGGAUGCUAAUAGUAUCCUACAGUAUAGACCCAUAUGUGUUCUAAAUGUUAUGUUUAAAGCUAUUACCAAAGCUCUGACACUUAGAUUUACUCCUCUGGCUCGACAAGUAAUCAGCUCUCUUCAGACUGGAUUUAUUCCUGGGAGGUACAUUUUGGAUGGAUGUGUAAUUCUUCAUGAAGUUUUGCAUGAGUUGAAAACCUCUCACUCUGAAGGAAUUUUGCUUCAGUUGGACUUUGAAAAAGCUUAUGAUAGAGUUUAGUGGCCUUUCUUGGCAGAGGUAAUGCAUAGGAAAAACUUCCCUGACAGGUGGAUAGAUUGGAUUAGACAAGCAGUGGAAGGAGGCAAAGUGUGUGUGAAUAUGAAUGGAGAUUGGCGAGAAUAUUUCUCUACUUACAGAGGUUUGAGGCAAGGAGAUCCUCUUUCUCCUUUGCUUUUUCACCUAGUAGGUGAUGCACUAUCUGCAAUUCUGGAUAGAGCUAAGGAAGCAGGUGUGAUUAGAGGUUUGGUACCACAUCUGAUACCAGGGGGGAUUAGUCAUUUGCAAUAUGCUUCUGAUACUUUGCUUUUUUUGCAUAAUGACAUGGAGUCUAUUACUGGAUUCUAAUUCCUUCUCUACUGUUUAGAGGAAAUGUCUGGCAUGAAAGUCAAUUACUUGAAGAGUGAUAUUUUCACAGUAGGGUUGAGUGUAGAGGAGGAGCAGAGGGUAGCUGAUAUAACUGUGAGAUAGGCAAAUUUCCAAUAAAAUAUAAUAUCUGGGAUUACCAAUCAGCAAAGACAAGAUCUCUUCUAAUGAUUUUUUUUCAUUAAAAGGUAGAAAAGAAGUUGGACUCUUGGCAAUGCAAACAUUUCUCUUAUGGAGGAAGAGAUAUAUUGAUCAAUGCAUGUUUAUCAAAUGUCCCUAUGUACCUUCUGGGUUGCUACACUUUGCCUGUCAAAAUACAAAAAAAAGUUGAUACAAUAAGAAAUCACUUCUACUGGGAGUAAGAAGAAGAAAUUUCACAUGGUCAGAUGGGAACACCUAUGCACCCCUAAAGAUUAUGGUGGUGUGGGCUUCACUGAUAUGAGAGUCAGAAACAUUUGUUUACUGUCAAAGUGGCUGGAGGAGGUCAAUUAACUACUGGAGCUUACACUGCAGAUACUACUUAUUAAAGGGCACACAUUUCAAGACACCUUCAAGCUACUGAAAUUGGAAAGCAAUGAUGUUAUACUGGGUUAUGAUUGGCUAUAUCGUCACAGUCCAAUCAAUUUAGAUUGGAAGGCCAGAACAAUGAGUAUUUGUCACAAUGGGCAAGAAACCAUUAUUCUUUCUGACAGCAGCAAUACUACUUCUCCAACAUUGUUAGACCCUGCUAAGUUUCAGAAGGAAAUUGAUAAAGGAGCUAUGGGCUACUAUCUUUAUCCCUUAUCUUGUGACUCUACUGAUACCGAUGAUGAAAAUACUUUGGAGGAACUUAACUUGGUAUAGUGAGCCUAGCAGGCUGCGGGAGUCCCGUACGAUUGCUUGCAUUUCUCUGGAAUUGAACUAGCCCUUGGGAAAGGUAGACGUGAAGGUACCAUGAUUUCUCACUUUAUAGAAGCGUUAGAGCUUGGCUGACACAGUGAUCGAAAGCUGCGCAACCAAAACAACUUGAAACCGCCCAUGCACCUUUUGCUUUUCCUGAUAUCGUCCCUUCGGGUAGUUGGAUAUGAGCACAUUCAAAUUGGAGUUCUUCUUCUCCCAGAUCCAAUAGAAGUUUUGAGGUAAGAGGUACCGUGAGCAGAUUUCUUUGUUCGAUACCCAGUUUUUGAUCUCGCAAGUAAGGAAAUCGAAGAAUAGCUCAGUAUUAUUACGUCUCCCUCCGAUAAUGAGUGGUAGUGAGCUCUGCCCUAGAGAAUGAAGACUCCAAGCAGCAUCUCAGUCUCGAUAUUUGCCUUUUCGGGAGACGACUUGUGAUAAGCAAGUCAGCCAUGUCCUAAAGAAGUAGUGGGAGUGCAUGGUUAUAAAGGAAGGCGCAAGUGUAUUACGGAGCGAAGAAGCUUUAGAGAAAGUUCUACCUCGCGGGUGAAACCAUAGAUUGGAAGGUGUAGGUCACUCACCCGUGUAAACAAAGCGAAAUCAUAGAGCAUAGCUCGUUUGUAAUGCCCCUGUCCGAACUGACCACAGGAUUUAGGUCGUCCCGACCAGUAACAAAGGAGAAAUUCCCCGGCUUGUUAGGAGUUCCUUUAGUUUGCAGUUGAGUGCAGCCAGAUGGUUCUCUCUGUGUAUUCCUGAAAAAGUGAUUGGAGGUUCGUUGCUCACCUUAAGUCAUUAUCAACCGAAACUCAUAGAGAAAGGGAUCCGCAAAACCCCUCGCCAUUACCGUAUGAGCAGGUUUGAAAGCCUGCAAGUUAAGUUGUUGGCCAACUCUCGGAUAUUUACUCAUCAUCUAUACGAUUACCUCCGAACCUACCGUUCAAACAAUUGUGGAAAGGUAAUUGAUACUAUUGCGCCGUCCUCUCAGCGGUCAUAAUUGAAUAAAAGGGAUCGUAUAGCUUUCCAAUCCAGCAACAUACAUCUAUCACCUAGGCAUAACUGCCAACAUCAGUAUGCAGAAAGAAUCUGUUUAGAACGGUUUAGAGUCGGAACCAAGGCAAGAUAUCAAGGAUUCCGUAUAGUAGAGGAACGAACACACUGGGCUUUCCCUUUCAAAUAGACGACCUGGAGACAGAUCAACACAGCCAAUGCUUCUUUUAGACCUAGAACCCGGACCAGAACAUGGAAAUGGUUACAAGGCAUCGAACGGCACUUGUCCUAUCAUACCUUCUCUUGUGGCUUUAGACUGUGUAUAUACUUGACCUUGCCAAGCAGAAGAAGCAGAAGCCCUAUUGGAAUCCGAGUCAGGGUCAUUGUUGUUACAGUUUCCCCUUUUGGUAAAGGUUGGGUUGAAGGGAUUGGGAUUGGCUUAUCGAGAUGUGCAUGUAUCUCAUAUCGUUCUAGUGACUCCGCUUUCCUGACCAGGGAACUGCUAUCUCAAGGAUAGUCAAGUCCCGGAUUCGAAAGUCGACAUGAUACGCUUGAUUGGUCUGGCAUCGCCGGUUUCGCAGGAUCACUUAUGCUAUUUCGAGAACAGAACCUGGCCCAUGGGGAAGAAGUAGUAGCCAAUGCCGAAACUACUUGCUUGCUUUUACUUUCCGACGCCAAUGCCAACAAGUGCUUUCCUGACUCGAGAACGAGUACAUACUCUUUCUCCGAUGCUUGCUCUUGUUACGAGUUUCUACCCGACCGAUUAGCCCAGAGCACUAAUACGCUUUCUUUCCUCGAACAAGUACCUUUCCUUCGAACGAGAAUGCCAACUGCUUCCUUCCAACAAUCCAAUACGAAUACGAAUGUACGAAUGAUAGGCCGUUCCCCGGAGUAGAGUAGAAAUGAAUUCAUUCACAUCUACUAGAAACCAGAGCCUGAGCUAUGAAUCGAUCUAAGAGCGGACAAGCAAGCCUAUUCCUAUUGUUUUGGGUGGCAGAUUCCAUAUGUUAUUUCUCAUUGCGAAUACAGAUUCUUCUUGUACCGUAGUAGCUCGACUGCUUUCCUGACUUGACUCGAUAACUGCUUUCGCUUCCCCAAUCCCAGAGCAUCCAAGAGAUUCGUUUCCACACGCCUGAUCCGCAGUUCGAUUCGUGCCGGUGCCGGCAAGAGAUCAUGUUCCUGUUGGGCAAGGGAUUUUCUAGCUAGAAAAGCGGCGGAUUCGAUUCUUUCUUUGAUAGCAGAACGGGAUAUUCCACUCUUUUAGAUGCGCACCGCACUUCAUCAGUAGAAAAGCCCGGCGUCUGAAACCCAAGCUCAAAACCACCCUUCCUUUAGUUGGACCGGCAUACAUAUCUUAUCUCGUAAGAAACCGGGGAAUAUUGAUUUCGAGUAAGCAUCGUAUCCUGAUCCUGCUAUUGAUGUAGAUUUAGCCACACCUGAGCCCGCAACUGCUGCCUCUGUAAUCGAGGAAUAUCCCGUCCCGGAUUUGCCCUCAAGUAUUAUGGGAUAUCUAUUAUUAUUGGCAACUUGUUUAGUUCCCGCAGAAAGAGAUGCGCCAUAGUAUCCCUCGGGCAUGGGCCAACCACCAAGGCCAGGAACUAGAACAACUCGAUACUUUCCACCAUCCACAACCCUUGAUUUCUCAUAUUUGUGCAACGGCUGUUCUGGCACUAUUCUCCGAUUUCCACCCAUUGUUCACAUUCUAUAUACCUUGCCCCCUCCUCCCAACUUCAUCACACCCGCCUUUUUCACAUUGUUUUGAAACAAAGGAAACAUGCAACUGCCCGUACUUUCCCACUUGUAUAGCCCACCACUUAUUUAAUGCGCGACCUGAUGCGGGUCAUAUUGGAUGAUCAGCGAACCUAAUUAGAUUCACCUGUAGCCAAUGACCAAUACAUAAUCUCGGAAUCCUCACCCAGCUCGGUUGAUUAGAUCUCCCUUUAAUUCAUAUAUGCUACUUCCGGUCCGGGCAUAAGCGGAAACCCAUUGAUCUCGGGAUCAAGACUCGAACUUAGAAGCUCUUCCUCUUUUAGCAACCGGAUUGCUCCUCGCAAUAAAUAUGGCUCAGGUGUUGGAUCAAUAGCUCCUGUUUAGGAAGGAUGUCAUGGGCCCCCAAGCAUCCCCUUAAAUAUGGUGAAUGAAGAGAAUUGGACCAGUCCUUGAAUAGGAAUGAUGGGUAUCCUUGUCAUAGGGCUAUGUUUCUGUCAGAGUCUAGUGGCACCCUUUAAAGUAGUCUGGCUGGAUUGCUGCUGAAUAGCUUGAUGGGUCAGGGCAGAUUGAUAGGGAAAGAACCCUCGCCAUCUGGAAUCACUAUCUUCCGUGGAUGUUCUCGUUCUCCUUCUCUCAUUUCUGUGAUCGUAUAAGCUAGAUAGGCUUCUGUAGUUUCCGGGUUGCUGGGUUCCAUUUUUCUUUGCUUGCUGCAUAUCUCACUCAAUCCCUUGCUUUCGAGAAUAGCAUUUCCCUAGCGCUAGUUGUGGGUCAGAGUUGAAAGAUCAGAAGUAGAAUACUUGACUUCUCUAAGAUGCCAGGAGGGAACAGAACAGUCAUGCAGAAGAGAGAAGGAGAACGAGAACAUCCACGGAAGAUAGUGAUUCCAGAUGGCGAGGGUUCUUUCCCUAUCAAUCUGCCCUGACCCAUCAAGCUAUUCAGCAGCAAUCCAGCCAGACUACUUUAAAGGGUGCCACUAGACUCUGACAGAAACAUAGCCCUAUGACAAGGAUACCCAUCAUUCCUAUUCAAGGACUGGUCCAAUUCUCUUCAUUCACCAUAUUUAAGGGGAUGCUUGGGGGCCCAUGACAUCCUUCCUAAACAGGAGCUAUUGAUCCAACACCUGAGCCAUAUUUAUUGCGAGGAGCAAUCCGGUUGCUAAAAGAGGAAGAGCUUCUAAGUUCGAGUCCUGAUCCCGAGAUCAAUGGGUUUCCACUUAUGCCCGGACCGGAAGUAGCAUAUAUGAAUUAAAGGGAGAUCUAAUCAACCGAGCUGGGUGAGGAUUCCGAGAUUAUGUAUUGGUCAUUGGCUACAGGUGAAUCUAAUUAGGUUCGCUGAUCAUCCAAUAUGACCCGCAUCAGGUCGCACAUUAAUUAAGUGGUGGGCUAUACAAGUGGGAAAGUACGGGCAGUUGCAUGUUUCCUUUGUUUCAAAACAAUGUGAAAAAGGCGGGUGUGAUGAAGUUGGGAGGAGGGGGCAAGGUAUAUAGAAUGUGAACAAUGGGUGGAAAUCGGAGAAUAGUGCCAGAACAGCCGUUGCACAAAUAUGAGAAAUCAAGGGUUGUGGAUGGUGGAAAGUAUCGAGUUGUUCUAGUUCCUGGCCUUGGUGGUUGGCCCAUGCCCGAGGGAUACUAUGGCGCAUCUCUUUCUGCGGGAACUAAACAAGUUGCCAAUAAUAAUAGAUAUCCCAUAAUACUUGAGGGCAAAUCCGGGACGGGAUAUUCCUCGAUUACAGAGGCAGCAGUUGCGGGCUCAGGUGUGGCUAAAUCUACAUCAAUAGCAGGAUCAGGAUACGAUGCUUACUCGAAAUCAAUAUUCCCCGGUUUCUUAUGAGAUAAGAUAUGUAUGCCGGUCCAACUAAAGGAAGGGUGGUUUUGAGCUUGGGUUUCAGGCGCCGGGCUUUUCUACUAAUGAAGUGCGGUGCGCAUCUAAAAGAGUGGAAUAUCCCGUUCUGCUAUCAAAGAAAGAAUCGAAUCCGCCGCUUUUCUAGCUAGAAAAUCCCUUGCCCAACAGGAACAGGAUCUCUUGCCGGCACCGGCACGAAUCGAACUGCGGAUCAGGCGUGUGGAAAUGAAUCUCUUGGAUGCUCUGGGAUUGGGGAAGCGAAAGAAGUUAUCGAGUCAAGUCAGGAAAGCAGUCGAGCUACUACGGUACAAGAAGAAUCUGUAUUCGCAAUGAGAAAUAACAUAUGGAAUCUGCCACCCAAAACAAUAGGAAUAGGCUUGCUUGUCCGCUCUUAGAUCGGUUCAUAGCUCAGGCUCUGGUUUCUAGCAGAUGUGAAUGAAUUCAUUUCUACUCUACUCCGGGGAAUGGCCUGUCAUUCGUACAAUCGUAUUCGUAUUGGAUUGUUGGAAGGAAGCAGUUGGCAUUCUCGUUCGAAGGAAAGGUACUUGUUUGAGGAAAGAAAGCGUAUUAGUGCUCUGGGCUAAUCGGUCGGGUAGAAGCUCGUAACAAGAGCAAGCAUCGGAGAAAGCGUAUGUACUCGUUCUCGAGUCAGGAAAGCACUUGUUGGCAUUGGCGUCGGAAAGUAAAAGCAAGCAAGUAGUUUCGGCAUUGGCUACUACUUCUUCCCCAUGGGCCAGGUUCUGUUCUCGAAAUAGCAUAAGUGAUCCUGCGAAACCGGCGAUGCCAGACCAAUCAAGCGUAUCAUGUCGACUUUCGAAUCCGGGACUUGACUAUCCUUGAGAUAGCAGUUCCCUGGUCAGGAAAGCGGAGUCACUAGAACGAUAUGAGAUACACGCACAUCUCGAUAAGCCAAUCCCAAUCCCUUCAACCCAACCUUUACCAAAAGGGGAAACUGUAACAACAAUGACCCUGACUCGGAUUCCAAUAGGGCUUCUGCUUCUUCUGCUUGGCAAGGUCAAGUAUAUACACAGUCUAAAGCCACAAGAGAAGGUAUGAUAGGACAAGUGCCGUUCGAUGCCUUGUAACCAUUUCCAUGUUCUGUUCCGGGUUCUAGGUCUAAAAGAAGCAUUGGCUGUGUUGAUCUGUCUCCAGGUCGUCUAUUUGAAAGGGAAAGCCCAGUGUGUUCGUUCCUCUACUAUACGGAAUCCUUGAUAUCUUGCCUUGGUUCCGACUCUAAACCGUUCUAAACAGAUUCUUUCUGCAUACUGAUGUUGGCAGUUAUGCCUAGGUGAUAGAUGUAUGUUGCUGGAUUGGAAAGCUAUACGAUCCCUUUUAUUCAAUUAUGACCGCUGAGAGGACGGCGCAAUAGUAUCAAUUACCUUUCCACAAUUGUUUGAACGGUAGGUUCGGAGGUAAUCGUAUAGAUGAUGAGUAAAUAUCCGAGAGUUGGCCAACAACUUAACUUGCAGGCUUUCAAACCUGCUCAUACGGUAAUGGCGAGGGGUUUUGCGGAUCCCUUUCUCUAUGAGUUUCGGUUGAUAAUGACUUAAGGUGAGCAACGAACCUCCAAUCACUUUUUCAGGAAUACACAGAGAGAACCAUCCGGCUGCACUCAACUGCAAACUAAAGGAACUCCUAACAAGAAGGGGAAUUUCUCCUUUGUUACUGGUCGGGACGACCUAAAUCCUGUGGUCAGUUCGGACAGGGGCAUUACAAACGAGCUAUGCUCUAUGAUUUCGCUUUGUUUACACGGGUGAGUGACCUACACCUUCCAAUCUAUGGUUUCACCCGCGAGGUAGAACUUUCUCUAAAGCUUCUUCGCUCCGUAAUACACUUGCGCCUUCCUUUAUAACCAUGCACUCCCACUACUUCUUUAGGACAUGGCUGACUUGCUUAUCACAAGUCGUCUCCCGAAAAGGCAAAUAUCGAGACUGAGAUGCUGCUUGGAGUCUUCAUUCUCUAGGGCAGAGCUCACUACCACUCAUUAUCGGAGGGAGACGUAAUAAUACUGAGCUAUUCUUCGAUUUCCUUGCUUGCGAGAUCAAAAACUGGGUAUCAAACAAAGAAAUCUGCUCACGGUACCUCUUACCUCAAAACUUCUAUUGGAUCUGGGAGAAGAAGAACUCCAAUUUGAAUGUGCUCAUAUCCAACUACCCGAAGGGACGAUAUCAGGAAAAGCAAAAGGUGCAUGGGUGGUUUCAAGUUGUUUUGGUUGCGCAGCUUUCGAUCACUGUGUCAGCCGAGCUCUAACGCUUCUAUAAAGUGAGAAAUCAUGGUACCUUCGCGUCUACCUUUCCCAAGGGCUAGUUCAAUUCCAGAGAAAUGCAAGCAAUCGUACGGGACUCCCGCCGCCUGCUAGGCUCACUAUACCAAGUUAAGUUCCUCCAAAGUAUUUUCAUCAUCGGUAUCAGCAGAGUCACAAGAUAAGGGAUAAAGAUAGUAGCCCAUAGCUCCUUUAUCAAUUUCCUUCUGAAACUUAGCAGGGUCUAACAAUGUUGGAGAAGUAGUAUUGCUGCUGUCAGAAAGAAUAAUGGUUUCUUUCCCAUUGUGACAAAUACUCAUUGUUCUGGCCUUCCAAUCUAAAUUGAUUGGACUGUGACGAUAUAGCCAAUCCGACGAUAUAGUUAAUUGACCUCCUCCAGCCACUUUGACAGUAAACAAAUGUUUCUGACUCUCAUAUCAGUGAAGCCCACACCACCAUAAUCUUUAGGGGUGCAUAGGUGUUCCCAUCUGACCAUGUGAAAUUUCUUCUUCUUACUCCCAAUAGAAGUGAUUUCUUAUUGUAUCAACUUUUUUCUGUAUUUUGACAGGCAAAGUGUAGCAACCCAGAAGGUACAUAGGGACAUUUGAUAAACAUGCAUUGAUCAAUAUAUCUCUUCCUCCAUAAGAGAAAUGUUUGCAUUGCCAAGAGUCCAACUUCUUUUCUACCUUUUAAUGAAAAAAAAUCAUUAGAAGAGAUCUUGUCUUUGCUGAUUGGUAAUCCCAGAUAUUAUAUUUUAUUGGAAAUUUGCCUAUCUCACAGUUAUAUCAGCUACCCUCUGCUCCUCCUCUACACUCAACCCUACUGUGAAAAUAUCACUCUUCAAGUAAUUGACUUUCAUGCCAGACAUUUCCUCUAAACAGUAGAGAAGGAAUUAGAAUCCAGUAAUAGACUCCAUGUCAUUAUGCAAAAAAAGCAAAGUAUCAGAAGCAUAUUGCAAAUGACUAAUCCCCCCUGGUAUCAGAUGUGGUACCAAAGCUCUAAUCACACCUGCUUCCUUAGCUCUAUCUAGAAUUGCAGAUAGUGCAUCACCUACUAGGUGAAAAAGCAAAGGAGAAAGAGGAUCUCCUUGCCUCAAACCUCUGAAAGUAGAGAAAUAUUCUCGCCAAUCUCCAUUCAUAUUCACACACACUUUGCCUCCUUCCACUGCUUGUCUAAUCCAAUCUAUCCACCUGUCAGGGAAGUUUUUCCUAUGCAUUACCUCUGCCAAGAAAGGCCACUGAACUCUAUCAUAAGCUUUUUCAAAGUCCAACUGAAGCAAAAUUCCUUCAGAGUGAGAGGUUUUCAACUCAUGCAAAACUUCAUGAAGAAUUACACAUCCAUCCAAAAUGUACCUCCCAGGAAUAAAUCCAGUCUGAAGAGAGCUGAUUACUUGUCGAGCCAGAGGAGUAAAUCUAAGUGUCAGAGCUUUGGUAAUAGCUUUAAACAUAACAUUUAGAACACAUAUGGGUCUAUACUGUAGGAUACUAUUAGCAUCCUUAAUCUUUGGCAGUAGAGAAAUGACACCAUAGUUUAGUCUGGACAAGUUCAACCUGCCAUGAUACAGCUCCUGAAGCAUUUAGAUUAGUAUAUCUCUCAACUGGGGCCAAAAAGCUCUAAAAAGCUAACAGAGAAGCCAUCUGGACCUGGAGCAGUAUUUGGUUUCAUGCUUUUCACCACCUUGUCUAUCUCUUCACUCAUGAAGUUAAUACAAGUGAGGACUGAUUUCUGUCAUUCAUAUAAUUCAGAAGAGGAAGGCCGGUUGAGUGCUUUCCGCGUAAGACUAUUGAGUUUCCAGCUGAUUGCCCAUAUUUUCCAGGAUAGGAUUUGUCCACUUGAUUGAAUUCAUGUCAUUGAAGCAAUGAACUUGCUAGCCAGCGUGCCAAAAAGGUUGCUGACUUUGGGUACACAGAGUAGUGGCGAGAAAAGGGCUUGCGCCUCAGCCAUUCCGCUUGAUUCGGACCUUGUGGUUGUAGUCACAGGGUACAAAGAUAACCCCACAAUCAUUUGUUGUAUUCUUUAAGUCAAUCGCUCGUAGUAUGUGCUAGAAUGAGAUGAGAUCCAGCUCAAAGGUGAAGACCUCAUUCUUUGAACCCUCCCGGGCAGUUCCUGUUCUAGCUUCUCUAUCUCUAGCAAGUGAUACGAACAACACAACAUCUUCUCCGGUCGUAGGUCGGUAGGGCUUGCCCUGGCUAAGAAAUGGAAUAAAAAAUUCCCGGUUUCUUGACUGUUUCUGAGAUUAUUUACCUUUAUUUACAUGAAGAUGCACGGUCUCUUACACUUUUCCUAGCUUAAGUUGGCGGAUUGGUAAACAAACGGCUCUGCAGCUCCGUUCGCUUCGGCACCACUCCCUUGCUUCUUAUCGAGGUCGGUGCCAACAAACAAGUCCCAUUCGAGCAAUGGAAUCUACAUAACAAUGUAAUCACUGUUAAGUAUUCCACUCACUGAUGCCCAGGAAAAUGGGCCUCUGAAGAAAGCAAAGACAGUAUCUGUUGAGGGCGAGCCCCGCUCCCGAAGAUACCUGAUGAUAAGUAUGUUAUCGAAGCGUUAAAGCGAGAAUUCACAUCUGUAAAAGAUUCCCACAUUCCGUGAGAUUCGUUGCCUACCAAAGAAAGGUGCAAAUAAGCCAUUUUAUUAGAUUUUGCCUCUGCUGAUCCUGCUCAUGCUUUUUUUUCUCAAUUGGUAAAGUCUCUCAGCCUUGCAAAGUGGAAAAAGAGAUGGGCGUCGGAUCCAUGUUUCGCUAAUCCCGAGCUUGAAGAGAAGUGAAUGCCCGUGGGGAAACGAAGAAGGCCUAGGGUUAUCUAUUGAAAACCAUGCAUGCCCAGAUCUAUUACGAAAGUUGGAAAAACACAAUGGCCAAAUGCACUUAUUUUCGAAGAAGAAUGAGGCAAUCGAUCAUCCGGACGAAAGGGAUAUGGAAAGUGGGCUUGUUCUUCACUCUAUAAGUAAAUAUAACAGGCAUCCAUGGUUAACAAGUAGAGACUUCGCCUUUCUCUAAAGAGCCCAGAGGUCCUGCUAAAUAAGAUGUAUUGUGAGCACAAGAUGGACCUGAGCUCCUCUCUUAAACCAAGGCAUACUCUACUGGCUUUCCCGUGGAAGUUUUAGAAGGCGGUUAGGUUAAAGAUAAAGUGGUUGAGCAGUGAGAAGUGCACCGGAAGUGUACUUCGAGCGAUGGGAAGCUAGCGUGAAAGGUGCUCCAGCUUGCUUGCUUGGUCAAAACAGGCUUUAAAGACAGCUUUCUCUUUCGCUAUCUUACUUGGAUAGUUUAGGAUUUCUUUUCCUUCCUCAUUCACCAAUCUAUCAUGACCGUCUUCUUUUCCUCCCUGAACUUAUUUGAGUUGGUUUCGGUUGGUGAAGUCACCGGUAUGGUAUGAUGGUUUAGUACCGUGCUCCUAUAGUCCCAUUGCCAUCUCUUGGCUUAGAAUUUGACACUUGAUCAUCGGUCUUCUAGGUCAAAUGGGUGUCAUCCUUCUCAGCUUCUCACUUGAAGAACUAUGAGAUCUCUUGGUUCCAAACGUUAGUUAUCCUGUUCUCGAACUUUUUUUUGCCUGCUUUGUCUCAACGAAAGCUUUUAGCCCAUCCAGCUCGAAUGAAGCUAGCUCUUCCCCUAUAAUAUGCUUUCCUUCGGGGCAGGUUCUUUAAAAAGAAAAGAAGAAAACGUGAGACCGGUUGACUUCUCCGUCCUCAGCUUGCUGAAUUGCAUGGUGGAGUUAGGGCUCCCAUAUAAAACGUAUAGUCACUGGGUUGAGUGCUAUCAACCAGAUAAGAUGCUGAUAGUCUCGCAGAAGUACUUAACCUUGAAGAUCAAAUAGGAUUUACCAUUUGUAGAUCAGACCCGGGGUCAGUUCGAAAUACGACUCCCGUAAAUAGAUCUGGUCGAGGAAAGCAUGUUGAAUAUCCGGUUUCAUAAAAAUAACUACAUUCUCACAUUUCUCGAUCAGAAAACUAAUAAGAUAAAAAACGCCAUCAUUCUUAUUUUAGAGAGGUGUCCCCAGAAGAAGAUUUCUUCAGUAUUAGCUGAAUGUCUGACUUAUGGUAGGAAGCUGUAGUUAGGGACGCCCCUACUUUAUUUACAAGAUGAAAGAGAUCCGUAUCAAGAGCUUAUUCUUUUGGCUUUAAGCAUGGCGUUUUCAUUCAUUUGUAACUAUAUAGAUAUAUAGCCCUUGCAACCAUGUCCCGGUCUACCCUUUUCCCUAAUCUUUGGACCCGUCCACUUAACUUGAGCUUACAUCUUGACCCUUGUAUGUAGAUUUCUGAUUUCCUUCGCAAUGAACAAUCUAUUCUCCACUUUUGAAUAAAAACACCAACUACAACCGACCCAAUAGUAGGAGUAGGCGGCAGUGAAAGUGCCACAGCCAGGGGAAGUGCCAGAGUCUAGAACCGAAGGUGGUUGCCACCUGAUAAGAUCCAAAGCGCAGCAAAGCCCCACGAAAGCAAACAGUAUGGGUGGAGGAGUUACCGUGGGCACCGUGUUGGUUCAAUCUCUCUAUAGGUAGUGUGAAAAACCCUCAAUUCAAGAGUUCCUGUUGACGGUCCCAUUCCUUACUCUCUUUUUCAACUAACUUAAUCGUAGUCCGCAUUUCAUUCUGCUGAGGAUUUUGCGUAUCACAGCUUUCGAUCGACCAAUACCCAAUCCGCUAUUAACAAGCAGUUGGAUAGAGCUUCACCAGAGGGAUUUGGUGUAACAACCCCCUUUACUGCACACUCAAUUAUAAGGAGAUUCUUUCGGGUUAAUGCAAAAUGAAGUUCUUUUCUCAUAAAUCAGGUCAAAAUCUUGAAAUCAUGCNNNNNNNNNNUGACCCUUGUAUGUAGAUUUCUGAUUUCCUUCGCAAUGAACAAUCUAUUCUCCACUUUUGAAUAAAAACACCAACCACAACCGACCCAAUAGUAGGAGUAGGCGGCAGUGAAAGUGCCACAGCCAGGGGAAGUGCCAGAGUCUAGAACCGAAGGUGGUUGCCACCUGAUAAGAUCCAAAGCGCAGCAAAGCCCCACGAAAGCAAACAGUACGGGUGGAGGAGUUACCGUGGGCACCGUGUUGGUUCAAUCUCUCUAUAGGUAGUGUGAAAAACCCUCAAUUCAAGAGUUCCUGUUGACGGUCCCAUUCCUUACUCUCUUUUUCAACUAACUUAAUUGUAGUCCGCAUUUCAUUCUGCUGAGGAUUUUGCGUAUCACAGCUUUCGAUCGACCAAUACCCAAUCCGCUAUUAACAAGCAGUUGGAUAGAGCUUCACCAGAGGGAUUUGGUGUAACAACCCCCUUUACUGCACACUCAAUUAUAAGGAGAUUCUUUCGGGUUAAUGCAAAACGAAGUUCUUUUCUCAUAAAUCAGGUCAAAAUCUUGAAAUCAUGCCAAAAAAACGGGGGGGGGGGGGUUACGCAACUUUUUCCAGUGAGAUCAUCUAUUCCCUUCUCUUUGGCGGAUUCAAUCAUGCCUUGGUAAUUGUGGCUUGGCCUAAGCGCUCACCUGAGAGUCCAAGAAAGAAGGCAAAACAGCUAUAUAGAGCCCCUCCCUCGAGUCGAGCAAUGAACAAGUAAGUUAAGUAGAGACAAGGAAGAGGGGAAAUGCAGUAUCGUUAUGUUAUAGCAAGAUCAUCAGAUCAUGGGUGAAGCAAUCGAUCAUCAAAAAGUUCUUUAUCAGCCGGCGGAAAGCGUGGUAAUUCAUUCAUUUCAUCGGAAAAGGAUCGAACUGGAGUCAUCGCAUCAUUUCUAGAUCUUCGAUACCUCUAUAUUCUGAAGAAUAGGUCCUAAAAUGGUCAAUCGAUUGUUUUCUCAACGGGAAUCGAGGAAAUGGCAAGGGUUUGAGUAUAGCGAGUAGAGGAAUAGUUUCCUUUAUCAAAAGAAGCCUAUCGACUUGGAAACAAAAGAUGUUGUAACUUAACUGCACCCUUCCUCUUCUGCCGAUCUUUACAACGUUAUGCACAUCUCCUUCUUAGUUUUGAAAAAGAAAAGGGCCUCUUUCCUUUUCCCAAUACUUGACCAAGAUUUCUGUUUAGUUCAGUUCCAGAUUAGGAAGCAAUAGAUGUUCCAUUGGCCGAGAAGGAAACCAGUAAGCAGAUUGAAGAGAUAGAUUGAAUAACAGGCAGAUUCCCCUCGUAACAGGCAUAUAAAUAAGUCCCAUUAAAUUGAUUGAUAGACUACGCAUCGAUGGUGUCGAGUCAAUCCUUGUAAGCUAAAUACUACACAACCCUCCUUAGAGGGGGAACCUUAGAGGAAGAAUACAUAUUACUUAGAGGACGGAUGAUGGUACAUAGGCAAAUCCUCAAUCUAUAGAUGCUUUAGUGCCAGGCAGGCAGAGCCAGAGCCGCGUUGGGCAACGAACAACUCGUUUUUCGGAAGAUAGUUGCGUUGCAGGUAAAGCUAGCAGUAGUUGGAGCUAAAGCAAGCUAGCUAUAGGUGUUCGGAUAGUUGUGUUGAUAGAGGGUUUUCUCUCGGGAGACAUAUCGAUUACACACAAGAACCUAACUCUACUUCUUUUAUCCUCCUUACUGCUCCUUAUCUCAUUUCUCCUUUUAUUAGCACAGCACCUUGUACUCCUUUACAGAAGUUGUAUCGCUCAGAGCACAAAUCGUUGUGCUCCUCACUGUUCAAGAGAGUUCUUGCCCUUCUCUGAUCGGGGAAGGUCAUUUAAAAACACUAGAUCAGCCCAUUUCAGUUGAAGAAAAAAAGUGAUCCACCUAGAAUAUAUGAUCGAUACCAAAAGAUUGGAUGUCAUUUCUCAACACCAGCUUCUCACCUGGAGGAGGGAAGGGAGAUAUGAGCAUAGCGAUAGCGGUAUCUUUUCCUCUUUUGAUACAAGCCCACAUGCCCACUCUUCUACCCCCCCCCCCCGUACCACAGGGUAUCAGGGGCCUCAUGAUCUCCACGAACAGAGAUCACUACACAGGAAACAGCUAUAUGAAAAACUUGCUUGCUUCUUCGAAUCUCGAAAUAACAGAACAUAUAGAAAGUGUUUUUGUGAUUUUUCCAUUCUCUUCGGGGAACCUAUAGAAAGAUUAUCAGACGGCUUUCAUGAUAUUAUGCUUCCUUGCCCGUGUGGAACAUGUGUGAGCAUUAUGUUUUUCCAACAAGUGAUCCGACUGGAAGAAGUGUUAUAUGAGGACUUCGAGAUCAAAUAGAGAAUCUGUCUCUCCAUUCCUCGUGAGCCACUUAUUUCUCCGAAAUCAGAGAUCAGAGUGAUUUUCCUCCUUUUUCCCAAAUAGUCGACGGUCUUACACCAUUGGGAUACUUCGGAUAAACUGGAGUACAUAUAUGAGAGACCGGUGCUAAAACCUUUUCUCGAGAUAUCUUCCAGAUUCUUAGGGUCCUUGCUCCGGAUCUCGCCCCCCCGGUGCGAAAGCAGUUGGUUUCGUAGUUUGAGAAUUCUACUAAUUCCAAGUAUUCCAUUAUUAUUAUUAAAUAAGAGAAUAUAAAAAGUAAAGAGGAGAAGACAUAACCAGAAGAAUUGUGAGAAAUAAGUUAAUUUAUCAAGUUGAGGCAUUUCGAUUUGGAUUUCAAAUAAGAAAAAAAGGAUUUUGUGAAAUUUAGGAGUCGUUCGAAAGCAUCAAGAGGGAAGAACUCAGAUAGAAAGGCAGGCGAAGUUGGCGGCCAACCUAAUUCCCCUCCCAGUUGUACCCUUGUGCAUCCCCUUCGUAAACGAUUUCCACUAGAUCUGGAGAUUCCCCGGGGCCCCCCGAAUCAUCAUCUUCGGACCCCAAAUCAUCAUCCCACCUUUUACGCUUCCGCGAAGAAGAUGGGCCUGCCUCGUUCGCCCCAUCAUUUGCUUUUGUGCUUUCAGGGGAUCCCGUGGAAUGAGCCUCCUGCUCUUCCAAAGGCACAUCGGGGUCGGGAGAAUCCGGUUCACCGAGCUCGGCGCGGCGAAACCGCUUCGCCAGAUUGGUGGCUAUUGCGACGAAUUCGCUUGCGUCCCCGGCUUCCGUAUAAUCGGAGAAGAUUUGUUGAAGAGUAUCUCCUCCCUCACUAUUCCACAAUACAUGAUUUUCAGUGAACGAUCGCGCAGAUUCACCUUCCUCUAAAGGAAGAGGAGUGCCUACUUCGUGAAAUAUUCUUUCAACCUUGGAAGUCAACUCCGCAAUUAUGUCUUCGGGAUGGGCGGCGUGCGCCAUUUCCUGCUGGAGGUCUGGUAGUCCGCCAACGGGAGGUUGGUCUAUGGGAAAGUCACCCCCGUUAGGAGCAUUGGUCAUGACGAGAACAUUGAGAUCCGCGACAUUCUCAUUCCCAAGAUGAAAGGCUAUUCCUUGAACUCCGAAUAAGACAACAAAUGCCAUUAUUAGUACUGUCAACGCAAGACCAAACGAUGGUAUAGCAAUGAACAAAAGAAUGACACUUGGAAAUAUGGUCCGAAUAAUUUCGAUAGUAGUUCCAUGAACAAUCCUUUGUGGGAUUGGAUUAGUUUGCUCGUUGAAAUGCCAUAAAGCGCGAACCAACAUCCGUGAUACGAAAACCAAAAUAAGAAUGAGGAAGAAAAAGAUAUCGUGAUGUAAGUCAAUGAUCAUGGGGACACAUUGUUUUGAGGACCACAAUUUCCUGCACUGUGCCUGUAGUGAUUUCAGAAUUCGGCAACUUAGCCUACUAAAAGAUCAGUUACAAGAGCACAAUGCUUUUUGUGGCUUCCUGCUCGGCAGAGAAGCCACGCUGCCGGGGCGGCCCUGUCACCCGGAGAAGAUUUCUUUUCUUUGCUGAUUCCUCUCAAUGAAAUUUGCGAAGAAUAGCGGAGAGAAAUGGUAACGUAAUAAGGGAAAGGGAGCUAGCUGCUUCCAUAUCGCCCCCAAAAAAGAACCCAAAAGUUCCAGAGGCAUCUUCCAUUCAUUUCGAUUUAGGUCUUUCUGCACCAUAUUUAGAUCUUCCCUUUCUACGAUCCAGAAUCCCCAGCAAAUCCUUGACUCCUCGAAUACGAUGGGAUUUCACACCUGGCGAAUCUUUCACUCUACCUCCUCUGACUAAGACUAUAGAAUGUUCCUGCGAAUUAUGACCUUCGCCUGGAAUGUGAGCAAAUAUAUCAUGUCGAUUGCUCAACCGUACUUUUGCUAUCUUACGUAGAGCUGAAUUAGGUUUUUUCGGUGUUCUCGUCGGAACACGCAGGCAUACUCCUUGCUUCUGGGGACAUUGAUCCGAAGCUCGAGUACGGUCCGUGCGCCGUUUUUCUUCUCUACCAUGACGAAUCAAUUGAUUUUUUGUAGGCAUCCCUCUUUCCUAUGUCCUUCCCCCCUUUUCCCUUUCUAAAGUGGUUACUCCCGAUCCGAAGCACCCCUUUUCCAUUCAUAGAGAGAUCCAAUCGUCAAAAUCAAUAAAAAGGCCAUCAUGGACCAAGAUCCAAACAGAUCAAUCUUGUUAGGAGGUACUGCCCAAGGAAAAGAAAAGGUGACUUCCGGAUCAGGGAUAAUAAAUAAAAUAGGAACCAGAUAAAAUCGUAUAUCGAAACGACUUCUAGCAUCACCGGAGGGAUCGGAACCACAUUCGUAGGCCGACAAUUUUUCUGGAUAGGUCGAACUAUUGGAAGCAAAUGGAAAAGGAACACCGAGUGGAAUCAAAGAAACUAGCGGACUGAUCACUAAAUAGAUACAAAUAGGUGCAAAUUCCGACAUCACCAAAGCCCACUUCGUUCUCUCGCUCUCCUCGCGGCGCUCCUUGCUCGCGGAGCGGCAUACCGAAAAAAAGACGCUCAGAUGUGGAUUCGAACCACUGAAGGAUUUCCAGGGCAAUGCCCCUUGCUCUUCCCACUGAAACAAGAAAAAAAGGAUUUGCAGUCCAGCAAGAAAACGGAUGCGCUAACGCGUAACGGCUUUCGCGCUAGUUGCUCAAUCCGUUGCUUGUUUUGCUCUAACCAGCUGAGCUACCAGAACCACUUGCCUAAAGUCUCUUUUCUUCAUCUAUGAGCAUCCUACCUGCAGUGGAGGAGCUUGCUCAAGAACCGAGAGCCGGCCAGGGACUGGACGGCCCUCGUUCGGGAAGGUCUUCUUCGCUAUAGACGCCACCAAGAACAAGAAAGGGGCGCUCCGCUCCUAGUCACUAAGCAGCUAUUCUGUCCGACGGCGGACUCCAUCAAUCUGAGGUUCUUUCUCUCACGUAAUUUCGCCCGCCCAUUCUACUUCCGUGCCGGAGGAAAUGGGAUUCGAACCCAUGAUACAAUCUUCUUGUAUGUCGAUUUAGCAAACCAAUGCCUUAAGCCACUCAGCCAUACCUCCAAGUUGUUGAUCGGAAUUGGAUGUGCCGGGUUGGUUGCCCGAAGAUCCACUGCGUAAGCCGUAGCGCGCGUACUCUUCUUUACUGAGCGAGAAAGACUCUAUCCAGAUCUAUGGAUCUCCCCAGCGUCCAAGCGAGACCCCAUCCAAACCAAAUCCGCCACUCGUUGGGCGAGGCCUUGCUUUCUAUGAACACCUCACCACUGAAUGAGAAACUUAGCCUCCGACCCGACCAAGAGAGAAGACAGGGUCAAGCCGACGCCGCCCUUCCUCACCUACCUGAAUGGAAUGAAUAUCUCCUUCGUCUAGUCGAGAAGGGAAAAAGCCCGGCGGGGAACAGGACCGUGACUCUUCUAAACCAUUACAUGACGGAGAAGUCCAUUCUCGUCAUGAUCGAUCCACGUCCUACCAUAGUGCCCGGAGAACCUGCUUCUAGAAGAUUCUAUAGUGAUCCACUGGAAUCGGCCUCGGGUGACGCCUCCCUAGUCGUCGAAAGAUUUCAUCCCUCGCUCGGUCGUUAAGGUGGGGUGAAAACUGCAAUUAAUGCUCUAUCUCCGCCAUAGAAUAUGGGAUACUCACUUUCAAUGUCCUCGCAUCCCCAGAGCCUCAGACUGGCAUGCCCUUCCAAUCGGGGUUAUAACGGGUCCGGUAUCAGCAACACCAGCCAAUCGUGUUGGUACGGUGGGUUCCCCAUACCCACUAUUCGGAAAAAAAGCUUGCCAUAGCAGCUCAAACCUCCGAUCGGGAAAUGGGAGUUCUAACCGGUCCUAACCCCAAUUCCAAACAAAUUAAUUGGACCGAGGUUCGUGCAGGGAGAGAAUAGAAACUAAUAACGAUGGAGCAAGAAAACGGAUGCGCUAACGCGCAACGGCUUUCGCGCUAGUUGCUCAAUCCGUUGCUUGUUUGGUUCGAGGUUGAGCUCACCCGCCGCCCUACGUCAGUAGUCUUCCUAACUUCUAUGCCCUUUUUUUUGCUCUAAGGUAAGGUCCUUCAAGAACAGCAUUGCGGUCGCAACGGGGCUCUGGGUGAAUAUUGUCCGCCCGUAUGAGCCGGGCUGUGAAUAUUUAUAGGUCGGGGUCUUUACUGAAAAACCACAAUACUACACUACAACAAUUUGAAGAAAUCCGCAAGUGACUCUAAUUUGAAUUCACUAGUCGUGUUGAGUUUUUUUUUAUUUCAAUAUAAAAUAUCUGCCAAUCCCGAUAUUCCCACAUUUCAUUCUGGUCUAGUGUCCAUUCCUGAAUGAAAGAAAUGAGCUUUGCCCCUUCACUCACUUCUGAAUGACUCCUUUAGCACUCUCUUUUUUAGAUCAAAAAAUAGAAACAGUUUACCUUUACCAUACCUUCCAAGCAAGAGUGUUUUAUUGCAAGAUUAAGUUAUUACUGAACAAAGAGAAAUUCUCAUUAUAAAGGAUGAGAGAAAUUCGGAAGCACUUUUUUCUUAUUCUAGCAGACGGAAUUGAAUUGGUCUAAUUUAGGACUUUCCAAUCGAUUUUUAUCUUACCUAAUUCUAUCUACGCCCAGGGGGUAGGUACGUCGCAAGCUCUGGGCAGCUAUCUUAUUCCAAAGAAUAUAGCUCCCUAAAAGGUUGCCGAUACCAUACCUCUAUUGAACCCUACUGGAUCCAAUUGUUUAAGUGUUUAGUCGAGAGGAACCACAUUGACACCAUGCUUGUGCUAAGCCACAGCUCCAUCAAACUAAUCUGGAUUUCUUCUUGUUUACGAAUAAUGGGGCAUCUGCCUAACCCUAUCAAACCUCUCUGCAACUACUUCUCUCUGUUCUCAGCAGCCCGCAGGAUUUUUCGAGUCUCAAAGUCCUAUUAGAACUCCCGAGCUUGCUCCUUUGGAGCCAAAUGGAUCCGAAUUUCGGUAAGAUAAUACAAGAAUCGUAUUUGGUUGGGUUCUAACUCUGAUGUUCAGUCUGGCGCGGGUGUGAUACCGGUGAAGAAGCGAGUAGUUGACAGUCAGGGAAGUAGAUUCCUUUAAGGAGAGAAAUUCAUUGGUUUAGCCGUUAGGCGGAGCUUCUUUACACGCCGGUAGUGGAACAGCCCAGGCAGCUUAACGUGCUCUUGGCACAAAGGUAAUAGAAUGGGAGUCUGACGACACCCGGUACUCGGGAUCUCCUGCUUGAAGAAGCAAGGAAUUUCAAUUACUCAGCCGUUGAAUAAAAUAAACUAGAUACCCAUGUUUCCAAUAUUUACUUCUCUUUACUUGCAGGACCUGGCCUAAGCAUAAAGUAGAUUUGCUGCACAAGCUCAAGUGGAGGAGGAAGCAGGGGUGGCGAACAAAAUGUUGGUAUGGAAGAUCUCUUGCUCCCCCCCUGAAGGGUUCUUAGAUUACCAAGUAAGGGAGGGAGGUAGGUACCAUGGUUUCCUUCUUUUAUUGAAUACCAGUAACGCGAGUAAACAUUUAAGUGAGAAGUUAGGUAAGCGUUGCCAAUGGCCAAAGCCUUUACUCUUUACUUCUUGACUAUAGUAAUAGUAAAUAAUGUCACUAGAUUUCGGCAUAAAUACUAGCCAGGUACCAUUUCAAAAACUUGAUUUCCUUUUUAUGCACCUGUUUAUGCACCUGGGUCAUUGUUCACGAACUAAGACGGCUUAGCCGCCUUUCUUUGGGCCGUAUGAAGGAAGUACUUCAAUGAAUGGGUAGGUUGCCAACCCAACAUUAUAGGCGGGAAGUUCUCCUUUCUCCAAGUAUGCUCAUUAGACCGAUAGGUGAGUAGCUAGUAUAGUAGUAGCCAAUACUAAAAACCGAUAGUAGAAGGGUCGGUGGAUGGCCCUUGCGAAAGUGGCCACGCCGCAUCCCUUCAGUAGCCAAUCCUUUUUCUCAACGAUGCAGUUCGCUUGGAACAUGGCACAAGGUGUGACGUUCCGAGCGGUGGAGGACAACCUGUUUUUUGUUCCAGUUUUCUGCCUUGGAGACUGGCAGAAGCUCAUGGAAGAAGGGCCGUGGCUGUUCCGCAACCAUGGCGUGUAAAGAAGCCUUACGACGGGAUGGCUAACCCGCAAUCUGUGGUUCUGAACCAGAUUCACGUCUGGUCGCAGAUUCAUAAGAUCCCGGAACUGUUCCGCCUGGAAAACCUGGUGCGGGAUCUGGCUAAUAAGAAGCAACAAUAGAGAAUCUCGCCUAGCUCGAGGCUGCGCCUCAGUGCCCUCUGUAAGUACUUUCUAGUAAAAAGAACUACCUUUCAAAGCACAUACCAUUAUGGCUAGCUAAAACGAAAGAAUGAGAGUACAAGGUAUGGGUCUACGCUUCCAGCUUGCUCUAGAAAAACGGAAAUGGGAUCUCUCUCUGGUGGGAGCCUGGCAGCGGGGAAAACGGCACCUGCAGGGGUCCAGGUCUCCAUGAUGAACAACCACGACUUUGAUCUUAACGAGCUGCCGCCUGAGCAUGAGCAGCUCGUUCAGGAGCAGCCACUGUUGAAAAUAGCGAGCCUCUAGAGGAUGACGCUGAUACAUCAUUUGAUUUGUUUCGGGAUGCAGAAGAAUAGCCUGAUGAGUACAAUUAUGAUUAUGAUGACUAUGUUGAUGAAUCCAUGUGGGGAGAUGAGGACUGGACAGAACAAGAACAUGAGAAAGCGGAAGAUUACAUGAGCAUCUAUGCUCACAUCUUGUCCACCCCAGUAAGUGAACCUUUUGUAUCCUUUUGCUUAUAUUUUGCUGUUCGUUCUGUAAAUGACCUUGAGUUGUUUUUCACAUUCUUUCUAUAGGUAAUUGCAGAUAUUGACAAAGAUGGUGUACAUGAAAUGGUGAUUGCACUUUGACUCAAAAGCACUAUUCGAUAAGACGCAGUAGAACUGUGCACCCGUUUUUGUUUGAGUUUGAGGCGGCCUAUACUACACUAUAAUAGCAAGGAGAGACAGCAGCUGAUACCAGAUCAUACUACAGUACAGCUAGUGCGUGCUAAAACCCUCCUUGUGUACUAGGCUUAUGAAUAAACUAAACUGUUGAGACGUCUCUAGUGUAGGUGACAGGGAAGCCAUGCUCGUUAGAAGAGAAAACAGAUGGUUUGAGCAAGCAUGGGUUCAAGCUCUAGUGGAUGGGUUUGAUAGCUGAACGCAAGGAUAAUUCAUCUACGUAGCUAGUUGGUUAUGGUGGCGGAGAAGCCCCUCUUUAGCUAGAUUGGGCUCCUUUACUACUUUAUUUAACCCGGGGUUAUGCCUAAAACCUGUAUCUUAUGCGUGUUCGACUAGUUCCAUUUCUGAUUCUCCUUCUUCGCUGGGGUCUACAUACGAAAGAAUGGAACACUCGACAGCUUUGAUACUCAAAUAACCAACUCAUUAUGCUUAGGUUGGGUUAGGAAAACGAAGCUUUCCAAGGGACUAGUUCUUUCGCGCAUCUAUUUCUCCAUCCGUUCUCUUCACAUAAGAAGCCAGCCGCCUACUCCUACUAUUGGGUCGGUUGGUCGGUCAAGUGAACCACGCCCAGCAGGUGGGUAUGCCGAUAAGAUUCCUUUGUUCGACGUACGUCCAUAUGAAGCGAGCGCUUCAAAACGAGGCUAUUAUGCUGAAACUAGGGCUCCCUCUGGACGGGUAGAGCGAGAGGGAUAGCAAGCACUUGAAAAGGGAAGGAAGGGUCUUAGAACUACUGAAACAGUAGUAGAACUCUUCCAAAAUCAAAAUAGGAGAGUGAAAAACAAAAAGAAGACCAUUGGGCUGGGGAAGACUCCCUCAAUCACUCUGCUGGGCGAUGCUUCUUACUCUACCUUUCAAUUCCUUUGCCUUUCUUCUUCUGAUCGAUCCAAUGGUUCGGACUAGGAUGCGUAAACCCCGAAGGGAGAUUGACCCUACCUAAGUAUUUUCUUAGAUAGAAGUGGUUGGUCAAGUGUGAGUCACGCCGGGGCGGGUAGACCCACUUUUAAUAGCAACGCCCAGAUCAAUGGAAAAUGGAAGUUUCUAGAAUUGCAGCUCUGUUCUGUUCAAGAAGUCUUUCUCCAGGGUUCGGUUCAGAAGGCGGGAUGGAAGAGAGAGAAUGGGCUCAUCGUGCGACAAGGUCGAUCGAUCACUCAAACUGUUCAGUAUCUCUACAAUUGAGUGAGCUGUGUUGCGAAGGAAAAUGAUGAAAUUGCUUACUUUUCACAGGCGUGAAUUCUAUCUUCGAUUAGAUAGUUUCCAUGCUUUUGAUAAAAAGAUGGGUUGGUAUCUGAAUGAAAGUCGGUAAGCAAUCAAUCUAGUGCUGUCCUCGGCAGACCAGGAAAUGUAAUAAACUUUGGAGCCUCAUCAUUGGAAAGAUUGACAACUUAACGGUCUGAAAAACUAUUCAAAGAGUGACUUUUAAGCCCCACUGGUUCGCUUUAUUUUCAACGGACAUUUCCUCCCUCGUCAGCAGCUUCAUUACCUGCUAAGUCUGGAAGGGUAGUAAAAUCACUCACAACAAUCAAUCUUUUCUUAUGAUACUGAUACGAUGCAAACGGUGACACCCCCGGAUAAUGUGUCUGUGCAUUUGUGUCUGUCUUCCCUUAGAUGUGAGGAAUCGAAUCUCUAUUGAAAUCUGGAAUCACAAGGUAUCCUUUCUUUAAAAACACAUGAACGGGCGCCCUGAAUGAAUAAGAAAUCGCUGCUAUAACAGAGAGUUGCCCCAGAUCAUACAAUGUGGUUCUCUACUUUCGGCUGGCUGGCAGAUCAGCGUAUUUAUACGAAAGAGUAGACAAAGGUUCUGACAGGGGUAACUACUACCAAGAAGCAAACUCAGAGAGAUGAAGAGAGAGAAGUUAGCCGCAACCGAUCAUCGGAGGAAGCAGGCUUACAAGAAACUGAUGGGACGAUCGGAAGAAGAGAGUGAUAACAGGUUUCUAGUUGACAACCUUCCGCAUUUCUUAUUGGGAUAGAUUUCAUACAUUCCGAUUUCCUUUACCCUCCCAUGAGGAAAAGCUGGUGUGAUUAAGGUUAUCUAAAGAAAAGCUCAUAGUGUUAUGCCUUGUAGCUUAUUCCACUCUCUAUAGUAGUUCCCUUCGAUUCAACGCAGUGAAGACAGUUUCAAUCGGGUCGAUGGACCCUUGGUUGUUUUUGUGAUAAGUCGCUAUUAUCAAAUAAAUAGUCAUUUCUUGCUCGAUUCGUGAGGUGAUUUCAUUCCACAGUGACAAUUCAUGUUGAACGCGUCCUCCGGCAUUUACGAUUCUUCCUACAAAGGGCACUACUGGCAAAGAAUAACCUUUCCACCCGGCGAGAAAAAGAGACAGAGGUUUGCACUUGGUCCUCUUGGUUAGGAUGUAGAGGGGAUCUAUCAACAAUCCCAUCGUCUUCUUCUAGCUUUUUCCUCUGAAUUUGAUAUACUUCAAAAACGAAUCACUCUUUUCAGUAUGAAUGGCUCACUCUCCCAUUCUUUCCGGCUAGGGCAGCAGCUAGACCCAUAUCUUUUGAUGGCGAGCAUCGAUCGAGAUCCUUCGGUGAAAGCUAGAACCAACUCUGCGAGGAAAGCGGAAGCAAACAGUUAUGAUGUGGUUGAUAGUGUUUUUAGGGAUAACCUAAGUCGGCGUUAUCCGAGAUAGUCAACGGGGUACCUGCAUUCUUUAACAAUUCCGGACAUAGGAACAAUGAGCUGUCUCCAUGGCUUCUCUUCCAAACCAAUAUCGCAAUGGAUCUAUCUUCAGCUUAUUCUCUCAAUCAAUGAAUGCGGGUCAUCAUGGAGAAUCAGGGGAAGUGUAGACUAUAAGUAGCCAAUUUGCAAUUCAUUUCCUUGGCAAUGACGAGUGAUGGUAUCUCGAAGCCAUUCAUCUUAUCUCUGCAGCAGGAGAUUCUUCACCGGACAAAAGAUAAGGAAAAGACAAAGAAAUCCCAUGGGUAGUUUUUGGAAAAACCAAUUCUGACUUCUCUUCUGAUCUUCUUGGCUAUGCGGAGGAGUCAGUAGAAACUGAACUCUAUAACUCUUUUAUUUAAGCUGAGUCGACCAAUCCAUGUGGAACCAUAGGAAGCCGAAAGAAAGAUAGAAUGAAUAGAAUACAGCUCAACAUUUGAAGAAUGGAAUCUGUCCCUUAAACCUCCAAGAAAUCGAAUAAAUCUAACUAUAGUGGUUGGUGAUUCCUGGUCGAGUAAUAGUAUCUCGGAAAAUGGAGUUUCCACUGUUUGUAUGGUCUCGUGGUAGAUUACCUUCUCCAGGCGGGGAAAGGGCGCCGAAAUGAAUUAGAUAUCUUUCCACGGCUGUAACUACUAGUCAUUCUACCCCUUAGAACACCUAGUAAAACUACUAGUCCUGGUCGAUACACCUACUCGUUUCGUUGCAACUGUCCAAUAAGCUAGGGUCGGGCAUGUCCAAAGAAGAAUGUACCUGGGUCGGUAGCGAGGAAGUAAACUAGUGCUUUCCAACUGAGCUGGAUACAUCAUAGUCCUGGAUACAUACAUAUAGCAGGGGUUGCUCGCCUUGUUGAAACUAGUCCCCUUGCUGGCUUGGAAGCACCAGACCUAUUCGUUUCACUCGAGAAAGUCAUUUGCUUCACCGGUUCGAUAUGCGAUAUCAAAAUCCUUUCCUUCCACGGAUGCGACUAAAAAGAGAGUAGCUUCUCCUGCUCGCCUUGUUGAAACUAGUCAUUCUGUUUCUGCUGUGGCUGGUUUAUCGGCUGCUCCAACUGUCCAAUCUGUCCCAACAGAGUUAGGCAUUCCUUCUGAGCUAGCUAGGGAGUCAAUAGCAAGACCGGGUACAACAAGCCUAUUAGAGAAUGAAGUAGCUCGAGUUUGGGGUUAUCUCUCCUUUACGAAAUAGAGGUUCACUUCGACUUUACUACUUUCCAGCCAACGCACUCUACUCAAAUUGAAGGAAAUUGUUUGGCCCCUAUUCUAUUUAUUUAUUAAGGGAGGGUACUCAUAACGUUGAAUCACUGUUUUUCUUUCCUAAUGUUCAUCUCAAGCUGGCUUCGACAUCUGGUUAUCGUGGUUCUUUCUCCUCCUUUUCUAUCGCUUGCUUUCCAUAUUCCACUUUGACUUUAUUUAGUAUUGGCUUAAGGCUGUUGGUUCAACCGACUAUAAGAAGUUCCAGAAGGGGUCCCGGCUCGGGGGCGGGGGUAUCUUACCUCUUUUCCUCUGCGUUCGUGACAAGCUAGUAGGCACUCUUGUGUGGGUUGGCUCAUUCCCCCGGAAAACGAAUAUUAAGAAGAUAGAUACCAUUCCGUCAAUACUAGAUUCAUUCUUUCCGCGAGGGCCUCUGCUUCUCUCUGUUCGGUGGGAGAGUAUGGUAGUUGUCCUUCAGCAUCUCUCUCAGGCUCAAUGCCAUUGCUCGAUAUGAUGCGAAAGUCAAUUCUAUACCAACGGCAUCGUAUAACAAUAAACAACACUGAAAGUAAACAACACGGUUAUCACAAAACUUGGAUUCCAGAUUACAACACUAUAGGCAAUGAACCACCACUAACGGCCCAUAACGUUAGCUGAUAGCCGCUGACCGUGGAGUACUUGCCGAUCCAUCAGCGAGGACUAUAUCAUUUAGCGAGCUAAAAACUUAAGGAACAUGUAUGUGAGAGUUCCACUUUAGCUCCCUCAACACCAGGCGGGACGAGCAGCCCUAUACCACGUGUAGCCACACUCUAGUGUCCUUUUCUACUUAGUUGGACAGAUCACUUCAGAAAAUCGUAUAAAAAUCAAGCAAGAAAACGGAUGCGCUAACGCGCAACGGCUUUCGCGCUAGUUGCUCAAAAAAUCGUAUAAAAAUCAAGCAAGAAAACGGAUGCGCUAACGCGCAACGGCUUUCGCGCUAGUUGCUCAAUCCGUUGCUUGCUUCUCUUCUGUCUUGGAAAAGUGAGGAUUUCCUAUCUGAUCCAAGGGAAGGAAGAGAGGUGGAAAGUGUUGCUGUGUCAAAUCGAGAUUGUGUGGGUGUCCGCUCAUGUUCGACGCUAUCGAAAAUCAUGCAUUGGAUGGAUGCCCGGGCAUUGAGAAGGAAGGACGCUUUCAGAGGCGAAAGGCCAUGGGGAGAGAUUUUUCUGUGAUCCAUGGAUCUCCGAUCGGGAAACCGUAUCCAAGCUCCGUGGCUAGUCUGCGCUCUUUGGACUUUUCAAACUUAGCGAACUGAAACAUCUGAGUAGCUAAAGGAAGGAAAAUCAACCGAGACCCCGUUAGUAGCGGCGAGCGAGAGCGGAACAAGGGUUUUCAUCAAAAGAAAUCCGAAGCGGUUUCAUUCGAUUUGUUGUGGAUUGGAUGAUGGAAAAACCAGCAAGCAGCAAGCAUAGUUAGAAAAGUUGCCGUAGUGCGCCCUACGGAGUUGUACAAAGUCAGCAACCGUUUUGGGGCGCAAGCAUAGGCAACACAGGACUGAUGACGGGGUGGGAUUUGGAAUUGGAAUUGGAAGGUUUGACAGCCAAGGAGCAGCAAAUAAGUCACGCUUCGACAUAGCUGAAGCUCUAGGUGAAUAAUCUCUUUCUUAAAAAUCAAAACGAAAAUCAAAAUGACAAAUCUGGUUCGAUGGCUCUUCGGUGGGAACCUACUAACUGGGGUUUUUUGGGGGGCUAUUCUAAUAGUUCUAGUAGCAACCGCUUUAGUAUUUUUGGUUUCCGUUUCUUUCUCUGGCUCUUGGAUAGCACCAGAACAACUUUUCGAAUGGCUUCUCUCGCUUUCACAGUAUGUUUAUCACAUUCUUAGGGCCAUUUUGGAAGAAACCUGGAAUGGACGUGACCGCUGUGCGACCAUGGGAGGGACGGAACUGGAAAGUCCUGCCCGUUCGGGGGAUAAAACGUACAAAGCCCCACACGUGAAUCUAAUGCUAUCAUCAUCUAGUGAUAGCGUUAACCAAGGGGGUGGGAGCAAUGAAACUCCUUUAACUAUUGACUUGAACCGACCGGCUCAGGAUCAGGAAGAUAUUCGGCAAUAUGCCGAAUCAAUCAAGGACUUUAGAAUUGACGAGCAAUUUGAGAGUUUCAAAAACAAUCAAUUCACUAAACCGCUCUAUGAUAAAUUAUGUGCCUACGUGGAAGAUGCGGAGGCUGUAAAAAACACAUGCAUACGAGAAAUCUCGGAGAACUUUCAUUCAACAGACGCUGGGUUAAUUGAUUUUGUCAAGCAGACGGAUGACAGUGAAGGGCAAAGAAGAGUGAUAUUUGAUCUUAUCAACCUUCAUUUUAAGGAUGAGCUAGAGAAACUCCCACCCGAACUCCAACAAAAUGAAAAUCAAGAGGACGACGGGGAGGGAUAAUGAAACAAACUACUAGCAACCCGCAGAAAUAACGCUCAUAUCUAGUUCUAGUUAGAUGGUCAUUUUACACAAUGAAUUUACAAGCUAAUGAAAAUGGGAAUCGAAAUUAUGAUUCUAGGAGGACGACAGAUCACGAUCUACUAAAAGGAGACAUUGUUGGUGGUUCGAAUCCACCUCGUGAGAAAGACUGAGCUGAGCUAUUUCUUACUUUUCUGGCUUGAAUGAGACAAAGCCGAGGGUUCGGUCAUACAAAGGAGCAAUUGUCUUGUGCAAAGGCUAGUUUCGAGUGAAUUAACGCACCCCCAUUUAAUAAGUGCUUUGCAAGCGAUAUGAAGUAAGAUUCCUCUUCCCCCUACGCACGAGUGAAAAGCUAGGCUAGUUUUGAAAGAAAUGAAACAGAGAAAUGUUGGGCGCCAAAGCCCACAGCAAAUAGGAAUGCAGAUGGAAAUAAAGUAUCUUUGGGAAAACGGGAUCCACAUUCUAGGAACGGUCAUGCAAAUGAGAAAAAGGCAUAGGUUUCUUACUCCACUGAGCACACUACAUUAGGGAAAAGCAGUUUAGCAUCAAUAAAUAAUUAGGAUAGGAUGGACCUUUUCACAAAGAAAGUAGAAGCAAAAACAGUAUCAAUUUCUACUCCGCAUUCGCAUGAACCUUUGGUGGUAUCCUUCAAAUCUUCUUCCUAGCUCUGACCGGGUUGCGUAAAGACCCCUAGAGACACCUCCUCAUGCAGGCAGCUAGUGUUUCUUCUUCUUUUUAAACAAUAGAGAUUAUCACGCCCAAGCCAUAAAAAAUAGAGAGUUGAAAUGCCAGUUUUGAAAGAAUUGGCACUAAGUAAGAGGUGAUCUGCUUUUGGCCUUGUAUCGGGCAGCGGGACGUUAUGAAGGGCAGCUAAAACAUGACUCUUGCGAUGCUGAAUCAUCGAUUGAUAGAGGUGCUGAGAGGGCUGUGACUGCAGUAGCCUCACUUCACUUUUUUCCACCAUCACUAGUACGUGGGGUCCCGAAAACCAAACAAAGAAUAAAAUGCACGCACGAGUUGGUGGAUUGGGUUAAGCAUCUAACUAACUAGAUUCCUUACUCCCAGCGAUGACCUAUAAUAGAAUAUGAAAAGCAAUGUUUCCCUUAAUCUCCUCCCAUCUGGAUAGAUAAAUCAAGGUCAUGCAUAGCUCGUAUAAAAAACUAGAAAUGAAUUAUUGCCCUCUGGCGAAAGGAAAAGAUUGUUGGUACGAAAGCCGCUAUUACACCACUUGAGGGCUGAACCAACCUCAUGCUCCAUCAGAUACAAGAAACAGCCCAACUCUGAGCUUAUCGAUCUGAAAUGCACUUUUCAGCCAAUGCCUUAGCGAGAGAAUGAAGGAGUAGACGCCUCUUCUUAUAGAUGGACUAUGUUUUCUCUUUUUAUAUGAUUAUUCGAGUUAGGUGGUUGAGAUGCUUCUACAGGGUGGUUCUUGAUAGGGCAGCUUCUAAUACAAUCAGUUAAAGACGUAGUGUAUCUACUUUAAAUCGAAUGAAAAGGAAUGCACUCCCUUUCUUUGGUCGGGGUUCGCCAUUCGAUGCCUCAACCAAAGGGAUUAUUGGAGGUGGUAGUAUGAGCCAAGAUAGCCGUGAGAUACGUUAAGCUGCUAAUAUGUCCAUCUUUGUAUCCAUACGGAGGGAGAAGGGAAGGCCCAUUGAUCCUCUUAUGAGUCGCUUAACUAAAGCUCGAACGAUGUCCCUUCUGGUUCGCCUGAGAUUCCUGUAAUAAUGCUUGAUCCAUAGUAACGUAAGUAGAAAUGGGGAGGUCGAAGCUAGCGGUCAAGCUGCUCCAUUAGACCCGAAGCUUUCUUCUUAUCCCUUUUGUCUUCUUACAUAGGAUGAUUUCAUCCGAGUGUGUGUAAGGCGGGUGGCAUUCUUUGCCAUAAGCUCUAAGCAACCACCUACUUGUAAUAUGGUAUCCUUUCUCUCUUCCUGGGACUUGAGGGGAGGUUAGUACCGCGAAUAAAGUAGUACUCGCUACCCAGCCAGUCAUCUACUUGACAAGUUUGGAAAGAAUCUCUCGGAAAAGAGAGCGCAAUCUCUCUUUGCUUGUGCCACCCGGGCGGAAGAUAUAUCUGAGUCGAGCUCGUCGAAGAAGAAACUGCUACUGACAUCCAGGGAUGAGGGCUCAGAUCAGAGUGAACAAACAGUGCGAAAGAGACUGAGAAGGGGAAGCAUGCGCCCGAAAGGGGGGCCAUUGCUCCAUCUAUAAUAUAACUCGGGAUGUUUCACUAUAUUAUAUCCCCAUUGCUAAACGCAAUAGGAAGGGAAAGAAAUGUUUCUCCUUCUACACAUUUAUGAAAAUAAAUGGCUUCCCGUCGCUCACAGCAGCUUCUCUAGUUUAAUUAUCGCCAAAAACAAAGGAAAUCGACUUAGUCGCUCGCUUGUACCUCCAUUUCCAAUGGCUAAUUUACGCAUGUUGUACUUCUCCAUAGUUUGCUCGAAUCGAACUUGUCCGUACCGACAUAAUCAGUAUCUCCCGGACUACCAAGGCAAAAAAACCCAGUAAACUAGUGACUUGAAUCAUACUUCCUUCCUCUUUGAUUGAGGAAACCUAACUACAGGAACUGCUUAAGUCAAGAACAAACAGAUGGAGUAUUUCUUCCUUUCGAACUAUAAAAAGUUAGGCUACAGCAAGCGCAAGUCAUCCCCUUGCGAAGUGCAAAACAAGGGAAAUCUGACUUCAUAAAAACAAGUUGAGCUAUCGUUCCCUUCAUUGACCUACUAACUCGUGAUACAGCGCGCGUUUCUUCCUCAGAAUCUCAUUUCAAAAGGCAUGAACCAUCCCCUAACUUGGAAGGGGACAGGAACAGAAGACAAGUGUUAAGCAAGCCUUGUUUCCUACUUGCUGACCCUAGAACAACAAGAGGCAACAGGCUUGCUUAACACUCGAACAAGAGGAAAUCGCUUCGUCUUUUUGCCCUUGGCGCGCCUUCUACUUCUGUCGGCACAACUACGUAUUUUUUAGAAUAGUGCUUUGCUCGGUCCUGCUUUGGACCUAUGAUCCACGGGUGAUUAAUCAGCAUCUACAGCUUUCGCUUUGGGUCGGGAAUUUGGAGAGAUUGGCUCUAUAGAAAGGGAAGUGAGUCUUUGAACUAUGUUAGCGCCAAGGGUUCACUAAACCUACUGUCCUUCUGACUUUCGUGUUUCGUAACUCAUUAGAUUCCUAGCUUUUUAGCGGGGGCUUUGUAAGAGAAAUAGCUAGAUCUGUAACAAUCAAAAUAAGUCGGGGUUCAGUUCAUUAGAGCAAGGAGAAAGUUCACUAGAUAGACAGGUUGGACAAUGAGGGAUUUUACUCUCCCUAUCUCGAGUAGGAUCAUUGAAAAGAAAGAAAAGGAAUGGUUUCUUCAACUGGCUUGUGCCACAGCUCAUAGCUCGAAUCGGGAUUGGAAAAACGGAAGGAAAGUAAGGCGCUAGAGCCUCUGAUGAGGAAGACCUCGGAUCUUUCAAAAGGAAUAGGCCUACCUGCUUUAGCUUUUAUGGUUCACCGCGGUCUUCUUCUUCCUAGCCCAAGGCGGUUUCUCUCUCAAACUGAGUCAAAUCCGUAAAAUUGUAAUGAAGAGGAAAGCAGCGGCUUUGACUCUCUCACCUAACAGGUCGGUAUUCAUGUCCACCAGAAUUGUCUACUGAUUGGCUGUAGUUUACUUCCCGAUCAGAAGGAUCCGAAUCCUGUUUAAUAAAGACCCAUUGCCACGUAGGUAUCCUUUAUCUUCUCUCGUUCCUCUUUGGACAAAGGUUUCAAACCACCAACUCUUUAGAAAUCUCUAAGGAGUAUGCAUCUGGGUAAAGCAAUGAAUAGGAUGUAGAUGAAGCCCGGUAUGACUCAACGUUUUCACUUUUUGCAAGGUCUGAUGAUCAACGAGCUAAAAAAAGGGGGGGUAUGCGCGCGGGUACCGGUGCAGUUAAUAAUUGAGGUCAGUCGACCAGGAUCUUAUGACUCUUGUGGCUUUCAAACUUAAUAGAUUAGAGGAUUCUAGCGAUCCAGGCGAGUAAAAUGAAGCAGACGUGGCAGCCGCAGGCAUUGAUCCAAUACCUUUCGUUCUCUUUAGCACUCAUUUCUAAUUCCUUUAGCUUGGAUCUUUUGAAUCUGGAUAGUUAUGAGUACAAAACUCAAUAAUCUUUCCUAGGAUCCCGUGAGGAAGAAGCAAAAGCAGCUGUGGACGAUGUUGGAGGCAAGCCUGCAAUGUGGGAUUAUGAAGCCUACUUAGUUCAGAACUUUUGUGAUGAUGAGCAAUCACAUGCAUACGCAGAACCUAAAAUCUUAGGUGGUGUGACCAGAUCAAAUAAGUUUUGCUGCUUAAUGCUCAUUUUAUUUUGUUUUGGCAAAAUAAAGACAUGCUGAUGCAAAUGAUCGAGCGAAGGAUUACGUACAAAGAUUUCUCCUUGCUUUUCGGUGGUUGCUGAAUCCUACUGGGUAGGGUAGACCAAGAUGUUUGACUCGAGGACUCUUCCUACUAUUCCAGAUUCCAUUUCAAUGGUAGCUUCUUGGUAGACUUACUUUCUAUGGUACACAAUCCAGUCAAUAAACCUGGCUCAUAGGACUUUACAAGUGAUCGUGCAUCUGCCACUCCUAUGCCUUCUUUUCCUCGUCCCGAUUUGAACUAUGUUAAUAAUUUUGCUAGAUCGGACCAUAAAAUGGAAUUGAGCAGGCAUCCCUUGGUCCAAUAGAUAUUUCCUUAUGUAUGAUAGAACUUAGGUGCACCCCAACUUGGGGCUAGCGAGCAUGUCUCUCAUCUUCCUGGUAAGCACGUCCUAGGUGCAUUAACGGCUGAACAGUCUCACUAUUCGAUGAACUAGGGUGGGCCAGGGAACUCGUAGCUUAUGCACGCGCACGAGGCAUGAAAAAGGAGGAAAGUCAUUACAUAGGAAAGGAGCACACGCCAUAGAGGAAUUAUCAUGUUAUGCCUGGUAAAGAAGCACACUGACUUCAGAAGAAAGAAAAGAAGUCAUCCCAGUCAUCUACUAUUUUCUGCCACUCAAAUCCUGAUGGAUUGAAGAGGAAUGGAGCGAAUAGCCAAGUGAUAACCAAGAACCCUGAAAGGGCGCGGGAAGAGCCCAAGGUUAUCCCAAUUCCUAUGAUCCUCGUAAAAAGAGAGGAUGGAUUGAGAUACCCCUUUGCUAACUCCAUAGUUAGGAGAGGUGCGUCUGCGGUGAGCAUAAGAAGAUUGCCCUGAUAAUGGAAUUCCGGAUCCACCGGGGUGAGUGAUUUUCUUAGGACUGUCAAAAGAGCUCAAGUUUGGCUGAUAGCGAACUCCACCAAACGUGAUACCCUCCCCAAUGGGGGAUUGACCCGAGUAUUUAGUCAUAUUCUUCUUAGGAGGCUCCCUUCAGCUUGUGAAUCUAUUCUAGGAUCAAUGCAUAUACUCAGACAGGUUCGAUCUGGCUUAAGCUUCAAUCCGUCUAAAUAGUGUAGCGAGGGACUGGAUAGAAUUUCCUAUUUGGAUACCAAACCACGAUCAAAGGUUGUAGCUAACGACUUUUUAGUUAAAGCGCACUAAUACGAUACGAACUUUCUUCCAUAGGCCGAUAUGCUCAUACUAAGUGCUGUAAUCUCUCAUUCAUGCGCAUUAAGGAAAUUGUAAAGAAGAAAGUCAAACGCUCUACGCCUCGUCGAAUAAGAGUGUUUCCGGAUCAUAUCUAUUCUUCUCGGGUACUCUUUCUUAAUGAGAAAAUCAUAACUUGAUCCGAUCUUUAUGUCGCACAGUGGUGUCCCAGGCUAGGGCUGCAGGUCCAGCAUAAGAAUCUAAACUAAAAAAGUAUGUUUACGUGGUCCAUAAAUAAUGGUGACAGAAAUCCCUCCUACUGCGCCUUAACUUGGACUGGAGCGUCUCUAGGUAUUGAAUUAAAGAACGGGUUUGGCUUUGCUUUGGGAGGAGUCCUGGUGGGGAGAUAUGCUAGCAGGUAAUGGCUCAGCUUCUACUUAAAAAGCGUUUUAAGCGGGUUUCCUUAUUUAUUUGCGGGUCUCUCGUACAAGAUUCUAUCAGUUACAGCGGAUUCAAGGGAUGGAGCCAGAUCUACUAUCCGCUUGCUGUCCCCAAGCUGAUAAUUGUCCGAGCCUAUUUGUUUUUUUCCGGGGAGGGGCACAUAGCGAUAGAUACUUUAGAAACCUAUCACUAAGAAGCGGGCUCACUGAAAACCAAACUGUUCGUAUUUCUUUAAAACGCUGCUGCCCUAGUCGGGGGUCUGUCUAUAGAAGAAGGGAAUCCAGAGGAAGAAGCAGCUCCCCGAAGGAAUCCUUCUAACUACCACCUACCUACCUCCCGCUUUUGUUUGGACAAGGCGAGUUUCCUAAGAUUCACCCACCGCGGAUACACUAAGCGUUCUUCCCGUUGGUAAAUCUGAUUCUUGCAAAUCAACAUCAGACUUAGAAGCUUCAUGGGGUCUGGUCUCGCCAUUUGGCAAUUUAAGCCAAACAAAAUACAGUACAGAGGUUAUAACCAAUACACAAGCAGGCGUGAACCAGUCAGAAAUUAGAAUGGAGAAGUAGACACAGAAGAGGAGGUGUUGGGACAGUAUCGAUAGCCGCCUUUUCACUUAUUGCUAGGAGUGAUUGUGAGAGAAUACAUAACAUAGGUGAAAGCCAAAAGGCAUAUAUGACCCGCUCAGCCCAAUGGAAGUGAUUUGAAACUGACGUUUCUUUAGAAUUCGAUUAAGAAUAAGAACAUAGACCGGCUUCUAGAAAAAGAGACGUGCCCUCUUCUCUAUCUGUAGAUUCAGGAGCAACAUGCUAGUUCCUUUUGUCAUAAUACCUAACGGUUGUGGGCAGAAUGAAUGAAAAAGCAGAUGAAAGACACUAUACAUACCAAUAGAAUGAGAAAUAUAGAAUAAAGCUAGGUGACGUCACAGCAUUUGAGAACCAAUUGCUUCUUUUGCUUUUCACCAACCUUCAUGUACAAUCUUAUUUCGUAUUGGAGUACAACCUAUCGUAGGCCCAGCAAAGGCAAGACGGAAAGCAAGCAUUAAGUGAAGAAGCAAGGUCCAAACAAAGUAGUGAAAGAUUGACAUUGAAAAGCUUCUCCAUAUCUAUAUCUGUCCGAUGGACCAAGUUCAAAGGAAACGGCUUCUCUACUGCAUCAAAAAACCAAUCCAAGCCUGAAAAGGAGAGUUGCGGUUAACGAUUCCUAUAAAUUGAGAAAGAAGCAUGUUCUUCAUGCCCAAGGAUAAAGUAGAUGGAACCAGUUCUCUAACCUUCUUUUUGUAGCAGAUACUGCAUAAAGUUUACCUGCCUUGUAAGGCUUUUGUAGGAUUAAUCAAAUUUUCUUUUUCUCAUUCUAUCUCAGAGUAUCCAUUCAUUCGAUCUUGCUAUCCGCUCUCAAUUGAAUCCCUUCUCUGUUGUCGAUAGGUGUGUCCGCAUCAGGACCAGAAUCACGGUCUAGUACCUCCGUACUCGAAUACCUCCUACUUUAUUAAUUAGGAAGUGAAGUAGGGAAGUGUUUCCUAUUCAAAGUACAGUGCCUUUGGUACAUUGGUGCAUUGGGGAUUUCCAGGUAGCAGGUCGGUUGAGUGAGGGCUCCAUCCAUAACAGAUAUAGCUAGCGCACAGGAUCUCCCUUCUGCGAACAAAAGGACAAAAGAGCCGGGUCGGGCGUUGAUUCGCCGUUGCUAUCAGUCGGUCUACUCGUGCCUGCUGCUUACUUUCUCGAUCGAUGGAAUCGGUGAUUCAAAAACCUAACAUCCGUAAGGAGUCUCAAUCGUAGCUCACUCGUUGCCUUACUCUCCCACAAGAUCACACUAAAUACAAUAGGUGCGUGAUCUACUAGAUUCUUAUAGAAUAAAUUUAUAACCUUAGUUGAUAGACAGGAACCACCAUCCCAUAACAAAAAAGGGGGCGAAGGUUAUUUUGUACCAAUGAAGACGGAUUUCUCUCUCGAGCUGCUCAAAGAUCUUUAAGUGGCUUACGAGGUAGACUUGAUCAUGAUCCAUAUCCAACCUUCUCCCAUCUGCUUCUGUCUCUAAAGAUUAGAGUCAUCGACGCGAUUCUAGUCCAGUGCUGAUAAAAUCCUGCUGUCCAGUUCGGGAAAGCAAGUGAUUGAUUAGUUCCAUUGGUCUAUUGGCUUCAGCUUCCUUUGCGCAAACCAACACCUAUUUGGAUUCGCUUGAGAAGAGCGCAUUCUUGAGAUGCUAAGGGCUGGCCAAAGGGUUAACUAAACUAAUAAGAUCUCUUCUUCCUUCUCUUUUAUGCUUCAGCGAAUCGACUUCUUCUCGAUGAUGGACAUUCCACAGGCAUUUCUAGAGUAAGAUUCAUGUGCAGCCUUUCUCGAUCGUUUCUUAUUCUCGAAUAGAAGAUGAUAAGAUGCAUACCCCCUCCUCAUUAACUAUGUUACUUAUUUCCUCACAGCCUCUUGAUGCAAAAAACCUAUUCUUUCAAGGAAAAGACCUUUCUAAUUCAGUGUAGUUUUUCACUGACUAUUCUAGUGUAGUUUGACUCAAGUAUACGUUUUCUGAAGUCUCAGAUUGCAUGCAUUUCUUAAACAGUAUUGCACACUACUAACUAAAAAACUAGUACUUUACUGACAGGAAGUUAAUAAGUAUAUAAUAUGCAAACAAUCCCUCGCUUGGUAGUUUCCUUUCUUUCCUACCACGCAAUCAAUCUCUUGCUUACUUAAAACUCUAGUUUUGUCGGACAACCUUGCUUCUUUCUUAUAGCAAAGUGCUGAAUCCAUAAGCUUUCGUCGGAGCCUUCCACCAAUCAGUCUAAAUUAGUUACUUAAUUCCUUAACUACCUAGCUUGCAGAGAAUAAAGUAGGCUUUGGCUGAGAUACGUAAAGGAGGAAUAGUCAACUAUACUCCGAAUGUGCUUUGAGCAGACAGAUAUGUAGGUUGCUAGGAAGGAGGUAAGCGCUUGUCUUUCUGAUGUCAAGAAGUAAGAAGAGGUAAAACUCCUAAAAAACAACUUGAUCUAUGUUGAAAGUUUAUGUCAGCAAGCAAAGAGAUUGCCUAGGGCGAAAGAAAAUAAAAAAGAUAAUAAGAAAAUAAGUGUUUCAAGCCUAAGCAAAAGAUAGAAUGUUGUAUUGCCAUAACCUAUGUACUUAAGCGAACUAGCGAAGAAAGGCGAAGAAUGGCUUUGUUCAAGCCCAAGUCAAAAUCUAUCUCUGAUAAAGCAUUCAAUCUUUCAUCUUUAUAUUCAUUAUCUGCAAGUUUCGAGUCCUUCUUUGACUUUCUCUUUCCGGCACUUUUUAGUCAUAGUAAAGAUGUGCUGUAAGGAUCAAGAGUGUACCUUAUUUGUUUUAAAUUCUGCUUCGCUUUCAUCAGCCUUAUUAUGGGUUUGCCUGAGGGCAGCCUUAUAUUCGAUAUACUCCCCUCCCUUUAAUAUUAUUCUAUUUAAUGCAAGAGUAAGGAUAGACGUCUUAUUCUUCAGUGUUGAGAUAGAAUGACUGUAGACCCUCUUCUCUCUUUUAGUUAGCCUUACUUAUUCCAAUUCCUAAUCUAUACCAUAAAGCAAAGCCCUUUUUGCGCAAGGUUCUCUCCUACGUAUACAAUUCUCACUGAUGGGAGUAAUAUGCCAGUAACUAUAGAAGACUUUAUUAUUAUUCUAAAUAGGCGGCAAUAGGUCCAUCGAGAUAAAGUAUGACUAAUAAGUAGUAAUAUAGCUAGUUGCUAUACAUAGACUUGAAGUCAGGGCUUACUCAUCCUAAUCUUCUCUUUACUACUUAGUUAAGUUUAGUUAAGUUAUAGGAUCAGAACGAGAUUUUCUUUGAUUGCCGUUAUAGGAAGUGAGCAAGCAAGCUAGACACGAAAACUCAGGAUAGACGCGCUGCUCUUCUAGCUUUGGUUGGAAAUAGAAAAGCAAGUUAUAGGGCCCAUGCUGCAUUCCCUCAAAUAGCAGUCUUUUUUUUAUGUCUAAAGAAAAGUUGUCUAUUAAUAAGCAGUCUUCCCUCUUUCAUAAGGCUCUAACUUGCAUAAGGAAUCAAGGAGCUACAGGAGUAUACCGCCAAGUACUUACUAUCUUGGAUAGCUUUUUGCCUUGCAAAGAGCAUAGAUUCAACUUCAAUAUAUGUAGCUAACUCUCUAUUACUUUAUUGCAAUCCGCUCCGCGCCACUUACUCGGGACUAUAUAGUUCUGUCUAUAGCUAGUGCUUACUUUUCAUAAGGUAUAGUUACUGGUCAGAUUCUAAGUCACAUAUAGUUGUAGUGCCUAAUCCAAGGCAAGGGGAUAAGUGCUUGCAUAGGUUAGGUUGAGAUAAACACUAUAUUUCCAGUCUUUAACGCAUCUAUUCCUUGGGCUUAAGCAUUGUUGAGCUUGACUUGUUCUAGCAUAAGCCAUCUAGUAGGCCUGUUUAGCAUUCUAAGCAGCCGCCUUCCUAUACGCAUAAAGUGGAGUUAUAUUAGUACCUCACACCACAAUAUAAGUCUUAUUCUAAGUAGGAUCACCCACAUUUAUUUACUAAGAUUUGCUUUAUGAAAGUAAAUGACACCAGGAUAAAGACCUUCUUUUUACCCAUAACCUUUCUCUGCAGCAUUGGAACCAAGAUCGGGCUUGGCAUAGUUACGAGGUUCCCGUUCUAUUUAACUAACACUAACUGAAGCUAACCGGAAGCUUUCUUCUCAUGCGACUCUUGGAUCGAAAAGAGGCUGCUGGACUGGACCACGGCUGAAACUGCCAGGCACGGACUAAAAGCUUUUAUCAGGGAUUCCCGAGUCAAACGACUACCAUACAUAGCAUAGAGCUGGAAGCUACACUAGUGUACAGAAAAGACUGGAUGUGAACACGGGAUUGGCUAUGUAUGGGGCACUCACUAAUCACUAUUAGCAGGAAACAACUAGCAGAAAGAAAGAUGAACGCACUUUCACUCCUUGCUCUUCAGCACGUACUCACACGAGGGACUCUCAAAUCUCUAUUUUAGACCAUAAUCUUUCGAUCCCUUUACCGAAGUGAUUGAUAGCAGGGCUCCAAAAUCAUAGGGCUUCUUCUAUUUUUAGUGUGAACUCACUUCUAUUCUAUAUCAAGAUAGGGGCUUCAGUACUUGGCUGACCGCCCGGUGGAAGACCUGGUUCUACCACACAAGGGCAGCUUUCGUAGUCCAGGAUUAUUUUCCUCAUAUGUAAUUUCACCUCAAUGUGGAAAUGUCCGAUCUUAUUCCAAAAUAGAAGGUCUUCAUGAAGGUCUGUCUUGUUUCAGGAAUAUAGGUACCGAAGUUCAAUAGCGGUAGGUACCAAGGAGAAGACGAGUCAGGGCCGAUUGACAAGACUAGCUAGGCUGACCUUCCAGCCAUACUCCAUCCAAUAUCGAACGGAAGUGCUAAAGGUUUCAUGUGAUGCUGACCUCAAUGAACCAGACCUCGGGAAUUCGUUCAUCCCUUCGCUCCGAGGAUUGGUCGAGUACUUGGCCACAUGCAUGAGUAGGCCUGUUGCCGGGAUGUCCCAUUAAAAAGGCAGGUCCCAUAUUUGAAAUACAAAAAUAAGAUCAGAUAGCGCUCAAGAGGUUUUUCUCCAUACGAGAAAUCCUUCACUCGCAGGGAAUUCAAAUAGAUGUGUGGAAUAUCAUCAAAGAAAGGAAAAAGACUGAAUUCGAUCCAUCUCCUCCCUUUUCUUUAAACCAAGAGCUACUCCUCCCUUUUCUUUUUUUAUGUAAUUUCAAUACGAUUUCGUUUGUGUUCAUGUUUUCAAUUUAGAACCCCACGGAAGUGAAUAGAAAAAAGAAAAAUACCCCUGUGAUACGCCUUCCUUUACCUAUUUCUAGAUUGAUUGAUGUUCAAUGGAGGGAAACUUGCCAUUCCUUCUUUCCUUUGAAAUUGUACAUUUUUUUGAUUAUGAACUAAUUGUAUCCUUUUUGUUCCCAUCGAGCUUUCUUGCCUAGUGACUAAGGAUUUUCACACUUGUUGUGUCUAUAAAAGAUUUUCUCAUAAAACACUAACAGAAGUGUUAGAGGGAUUCACUUUCGAUAAGAAUCCAAAAGCAAGUUCCCUAUACUACCUUCUUUCCCUCCUCUGUUUCUGUCUUUAAGAGGCAGUGCAUCCGGCAGGAAUCGAACCUACUUUUUGACCCAUUUUGCCUUUCUAGGUUGGUGGGCGCUUUCACCAUUCAGCCAUGGAUGCUUUAGCGAGUGAACUAGGUUUUUAUUUGAGAGCGAACUAGGUUUUUAGUGGUAUUCCUUCUCGAGCUUCUAUUUCUUCCGUUAAGGGAGAUUCGGGAAAAGAUGGAAUAGGAAGACGUGUUUCCAGAACGAACAAGAUACGGGUAGAGAAGGGGAAGUUAGCAAAGUUAGACAAGAUUGGAAUGGGCAUAGGAACAUGUAUUGAUGUACCAGAUCGGCUAAUGCUCCCAGGUUGAUGCGAUGUAUUCCACCAGUUGACUGGAGACUUUAUUAUUGGUAUAUCGAUCAGUCCAGCACGGAUUGAAAUAGGAGCCGGUUCGACAGGAAGCUUUUGAAAACACAGUGCACCCAGGUAAAUAAGGAACAAGAUGAAUACAGAAGUUAAACGAGCAUCCCACACCCGAAAGGUACCCCACAUAGGCCUUCCCCGAAACCCCCCAGUCACUAACGUAAACAAAGUAGAAAAAGCACCAAUUUCUGUACCGGUUCCGGAAGAGCGAAGAAAAAGGGGAUGUUUUGUUAAUGGGAACAAGGAACUGUUUAUAGCUGUCGCGAUAUAAAUAACUAUACUCAUCUGAGCCGCAGGAACAUGUACAUACGAAAUACGAGAAUUUCCACCUUGUUGAAGAUCUGGUGGUGCUACCCGAAGACUUAAAUGAAUAGCCAUCGCUGUUAAGAACAACCAAGAUCCAAUGAGAAUUUGCGCGUAGCUUUUUUUCUUUGACAUAAAAAAAUAAGGUUGUAAUAACGAAACUGACAUUUUAUUUUCCUUGCCUUGCAAGUGGAACAAGAAAGACUAUAUAGUUAUUUUGAUUCUAUAAACAAUCAAAGGAUUUCGCAUGCUUUCCAUGGAAUGACGGAAUUCCCCUUGCUUAGUUUUCGCUCCGCUCGUGCGUGGCACUCCUUGCUUGCGGAGCGGCAUAUCGGAAAAAGAAGGAUUGACUUUCUAUACGGGCCCGUCCCCUCUUACCCCUAACUAACAAUUAUGCUGCUCUCGCCUUUUUGUAAUCUUAUCUUUCAAAAAUGCACUACUAAUUUUUACGGCCUCCUUAGUCACCCUAUCCACUCUCGUCCUGUUUUCGGGUUCCCUUUCAGGGGAUGAGGAUAUUUCGAUGAUUUCUCCCUCCGUAGGUGGAAAACGCGUGGGUGAGUAGAGUCUGUGCUUUGCUUUUGGGGGCACCGGCAAGAAGCUUCUCAGCCACCCUACUCUGACUUGAUUAGCUACUAGUAACUAGGAUCGUUCAAACAGUCAGUCAGCAAUGCGUACUUCUUUCCUAGUUGAGUGGAUCUGCGUAGCAGAGCCCAAUCUUCUACCACAAGCUCUGACCUAACUUGUUGUACUUGAUUCACCCACGUAAAUAGACAACUUGGAUAAUAAAAGUCAUCCCAUAAAAGAGAAGUGAGUCCACAUGUCGGCAAAUGAUUUGGAAUUGAAACUGGCUACAGAGGAAACCGAAGCCCUAACUCCCCAUUCUUUCUAUCUUACAUCGCCAUCGAGCCCUGGCUGUAGAGUCACUGGUUUCUAAUCGCAAUGGAUUUAAGUUUUCUUUGGCUUUUCCAUUCGCUUCGUUCAACCCUGAUCUGGAUAGAUAGCUCGGCUUCUAUUAGCUGAGAAUGGUUUUGUCAAGGAAAGGUUUCGCUAUACAACAACAAUGAACUCACUUCUGAUCAAAUUGGAUUGGAUGAAUCGGUAAUCUUUCUCUGUCUUGUGAGAGAGAGUCACUUGCUGUAUUGAGAGCGGGCGGGUGACAUGCAUUAAGCGAAAUCAGUUGUUAUGUUUUUGAUCUUAUUUGCGCGAGAAGACCCUUGACUGAGGAGACGUGUUUGGCUUGGAUGAUGCUGCUAUGCUCCUAUUCACUUUCAGAGACCGCUCUGAGUUUGCCGGUUUUGCGGCAACCCUUUCACUAAGAACAUUUUAGCCAUUAACGAAAUGCCACUAUUCCACAAUGCUUCUUUGAUUUAUGUGUAGAAGCGGUAGUAGUGAAGAAAAUGGAGGGAGAAGAAAGAAAGCGAUGUGACACGAGAAUAGAUCACAUCCGCCAGCCAGCCAUGCCAUUAGAUAGAUCCGCUCUGAGUCUUCUGCAGGAUGAGAUCCGCUUGGUCUUGUGAUAGGGGCUUGAGGAGGAAGAAGAGGGGAUUUCUGAAAAAAGAAUGAAUCUCCUUAUUUAUAGGGAACAGGACGUGUGACUUCCUCAAACGAAACGAAUGUGGCUUUCGUGAUAAGGAAAAUCCUUCGUUCGGUACAAUCAACAUAUUGAAUCUACGCUCGCUCGGCUCGGUGCUGAAUGAACUCCUUCAUUGAUUCCGGGCUGCUCGUAGGGGGACUGUGAAAGCAAGCGUAGGAGAUCAAAAUGUGAGUCGAGUCCGAUGGGUAAAAAGGGGAAGAAGGAAAGGGUUCUGAUGUGAAUUCUUCUGGUUUGUAUAUCUAUCUCAGCCCUUGCUUGAAAACCUCAAAAUUGACUUGCAUCUUCCCUUAUCACACUACACUUUCUCUUCCUUAUUCCAUUUCACUGAGCUAAGCAACACUUUUUCACGUAUUCACCCGAGAUAUUAUAGAAAUUGGUCAUAUUGAUCUGUCGUCUUGUUCUCGAUAGGAACUUGCUGCUGUCUUGGUUGGUUUGAGAGCAGGCACUGUCUAUAUAUCCAAAACCAGAGGAGAGUUUGGGUUUGGAUCACAGACGAUCGGAGAUUUUGGAUUGAGAUGGAUGGUUGUGCUUGAAGUUACGAGUCGGGUAAUGCUAAGUUGAAUCGGCUGAUCCGUUUCAUCCUCUUUCGGCAAAGGAAGUUGGACUUUAGUUAGCUAAAAAAAGUACCAGCAGCCUGUGUGUGCCCUUUGAGUCUAUAGCCGCCAAAUCUAAAGAUUCCUUAAGUUGUUGUACGGCUUCUUUUUCUUCUUUUGUCAAUGAUCGGUGACAAUGAAUGCUACGAAUGUUCGCUUCCACUAAUGUCGUAUAAGAAUUGUGAGGUGCCCAUAGCUUCCCGGAAAGAAGAAGAGUCAUUGUCGUUUCCUGACUGACAUGAAUGCACAUAUUGACCCUCGCCUCGGGAAAUACCACCAGUAGAGUCUGCAGAAGGUGUCGUUCAGGAGAGAUGCUGGGCUCUAGAUAUGCGAGUGAGAUACCCGCCCUCGGUCAUGACCUGGGUUGAAGAAGGAAUCUAUGUUCUUGGAAGCAAAGAAAGAACUCCGGUAUUCCGACCUUAUCUUUUUGCUCAAAGAACGAAUCAAACCCCUUGUCGAAGCCCUUUAUGAUAUAUAACCCUGGAUCGAGUCAGAUUUGGGGCGGCUGAACCCACUUAAGCUGAAGCCUUAGUAGAUGUCGACGGAAAGGUGAGAAGAGCUGAUCAAACCUACCAAGCAACGGUUAGUUGUGCGGUGUACAUACAGGCUGGUUUCGCCAUUAGCGAUGAAUUGGAUUUAUUAGUAAGGGAAUGAAUGAAGCGGACCGGAAAGAAGAUGGAUUUUGGAAUAGAAAGAAUUCCUCUUCUAGGUUUCUGCUUCAAGUAGUAAGCAAAGGAUCCUACCUGCUAAUGGUUGAAGACCUUGGCGGCCUCUAGUUCUUCUAUCUAGUUUUUUAGCCUAGCGCGAACGAAUAAGCUUAAACAAAUGGUUUCUUUGGCAACGGUUUUUUCUAGUUGAUUUGUCCUUAUAUAUAUUAGCCGUAGUGUAGUUUAAUAAACUGCUCAUAGCUCUUAUCAUUCCUUUAUCCAUGCAUAGACUGGGAAUAUAUUAGCUCUUAGCUCUGGCACUUUCUUCUUCUUUAUUUGCCGUUGCAUUCAAUAGCCUAUUUGAAGUUAACAAAAGCUUUAUUAGCUAGCUCUAUGAAAUACGUAUAUCUUCUUGGCUAUCUAGGCUAUCUCUACAGGCUUUUUCAACCUAUAAGCAGACCUUUGUAUACACCCUUGUAACUGAACUAGCUAUUCACAAAGAAAGGUCUAUACCGUACAUAUACCAACUACGCACCCCUUGUAUACUUCUUUUUCCUUCUCCCGUGCUUCAAGUUCUGCCCCGGCUCACUCCUCUUUCCAGCAAUCUAUGUGGGAAGCACUCGUUCAAAGUAAGUUGAGAUUCAAAGCGUUCCCGUAAGCUAGUAAGUCAAUCAAAGCUAUAACUCUAUUUGUUAGUUUCAGGAAACUGGUACAUAUUUCAAAUAAUAAUAAUAAUAAUAAUAAUAUAUAUAUUAUUAUUUGGUAUUUACCAAUUUUAGACUAAGCAUAAAUUCAUUUGGAAAGAAAAGGGAAAUCCCCUGAAAUAAAGGAUUUUGACUACGUUACCCUCAAAAAGAAGAGGAAGACAAACUAGCCAAGAGACAGAAAAAGGUAGAGACCAACCACCGAAACAAGGGAGUAAGGGCUAGGGGGAUAUGGGCCAAGAAAGGUUCGAUGUAUCGGUCAGCUAUACCUAAUCCUUCACUCAAAAACGCAUCACACCCUUUGUAGGUUCAAGCCGAAGUCAAGCAUGAUCACCUACUGCAAACUCCAAAUAUCGUGGUCGGCGUACCUGGUCCUGAACUGCUUUUAAUCUAGAAUAAGUGGAAUCUUCUCGGCACUCUCCUUCAUCUUCUGUGGCCCCGUCGGUCGGUACGUGCCAACCCCAACAAAUCGGGGUACGACAAAGGUUCCCGUAGAGUGCUUCGAAAGGUGCCAUUCCGAUGCUAGAGUGAUAGCAGUUGUUGUAAGCAAACUCGGCUAAUGUAUCUCUAUGCCUAUUUAGUAGGCCUGCUCAUUGAUGCUCUUCGGGCCGAUUGUAUGGGAUGUGUUCUGGUGUACAGUGGGAGAUGCAAGGAUAUCGAUUGAAGUUUGAUUUGUUGGCCAUGGAGUUGGGAGCAUAUGAUGUAGUCCUAGGAGUAGACUGGAUGAGGAAAUUCCCUAUUAUUUCAAUAAGUCUUUCUGUUGGUUGUAACUAAUCACGUACCCGCUGCUGCGGAAUUCCUUUUACCUAACCAGGAUUUUAGUAAAGAUAAACAACGUUGGGCCUGCCUGCUUGUUCAGCACCACCCAUUCCCAUGGGAAUAUAUGGGUUUUUCGGUCCAGUGGGAGGAGCAUUUUCCUUUGAAGGUAAUUUUCCCAACCAAUAAGUAUUGGGCUCCCAAGUAAACAAAGCGAAGGAUCAAGUAACCAACAUGUUGCGGAGCAGCCAAGUAAACCCAGAAAUGACUCAAGUAAUCCAAGGGCAGAGCAACGUAAUCCAACGGAGGGGCUACGUGAUCCAACAGAAGAGCUACGUAAACAAGGAACACAUGAACCUGCUAAGGAUCCACUCCACCUGCCAAGUGGACCAAUCACAAGAGCUCGGGCCGAGAAAUUCAAUGAAGUAAUCCAUAUGCUGAUUCAGCAAGCCAAGCAUUGGAGUUGGUAUUCCAAGUUUCUUGAAUAACCUAGCUGUCUGAAACUCGCCAAUGGGAUUCUGUGUAAUCCUCCGGUCUACAUGGUGUAGGUAAAGGGCAAAAAAAGUCGAUAAUUAGUGGCACUGAAGUAUGCACCCGGCGUGUAAACUUCUUCUUUUUAUUUACCAAUGUCGCUAUCCGACUGAUCAUCCUUUGAGACCACGGAGAACAUCAGAGAGAAAGAUACGUCACCUAAAAAAAAUUGACACCCUGACUUAUAUGAGUCGGCUAGAAACUCAAGGCCUGGCCUUUUGUGGGAGAAUGCUGAGUCCUUCCCAAAAUCGCCUGGAUCAACGAAAGAUCUGGAUAACGCUAGGUUGUGAUACUGAUGUCUGAUUUUACUCAUAUACAUCCGAUAGUGAAGGCCGUGAAGUUUGAACAGCCUCACUUAACCCUGGUUCGGUAACCUUUCUAGCGCCCAGGUAACCAUGACCUGUAGAUAGAGGCCCACUUUCCAUUGGAUACUCCGAAUAAAAGAAGAAGUAGUUACCCAAUCAUGGGUCUAUACGUAAGAUCUCCUUGCGUAGAGGUUAAGGCCAGACGGAUUACUGAAAUGUAGUUUGACUAACGUUUCCUCAUCGACUGCGAGAGUUUGUGGUGUGUGUUCUCGGACCAAAGAAACCAAACAAGCAUACCUUUCCUUUAAUGGAGUAUCUUGGGUAUGGUACUCCCUCUUUAUCAGCUCGAUGUUCAAUUAGCAUUCCUUCACGGGGAUCUUGACCGGAUGUAAGUCAAGAUUGCUAUUAUCUUUUUAAAGAACAUAAACUUCAAAGCUUCUAGUCUGUCCCAACUCUUUCGAGCCGCUCUCCCAGUCAACGUUCAAAGGCAUCACCAUACCAUAGAACUUUUGAGCUUGAGAAAUGCUUUUCUGGCUUCUUCUCCACACCUUUCUUUAACAACUCAGUUAAAGGCCUGCUGAUAGCUCCAUACCCCGGUACAAACCUCCUGUAAUAACCCCUGCAACCCUCGGAGUUCUCUGACAUUGGCUGGUUCUGGCCAAGCUGUCAUGCCCUCUACCUUGUUUGUAUCAGUAGAUACCCCAAUUUCAUAAAUAAUGUAUUUCCUUUAUGAAAUUUGGCUCACCCACAAAAAGUUUGUCCUACCGGAACACUUCCUCUAGCAACUUGAGAUGCUCCACCAUGGUAGAACUGUACACUAGAAUGUCAUCGAAAAAGACCAAUACCCCUUUCCAACAUAUCUCUUUAAAAACACUAUUCAUGAGUUGUUGAAAGGUUGCCGGGGCAUCACCUUGAAUUCAAAAAGCCGGUCCUUCAGGCUGUUUUGUAGAUAUCCUCUUCCUUUCAUUCUUAUUUGGUGAUAACCAGCCCUCAAAUCUAUCUUAGUUCACACCUCAUCCAAAAGUGCCGGUCUUCUAUGAUAGGAAUGGGGUAUUUGGAAAACAUAGUUUCUGCAUUUAGUUUUCGAUAGUCGAAACACAUUCUCCAGGUUCCAUCUUUCUUCAACACCAGAGCUGCUUUGGGGCUUGUACUGGGCCUGAUUACAGCAUUUUGCAACAGCUCCUCUACUAUCCUUUCAAUCUCUGUUUUCUGGGUGAUAGCAUUUCGUCGGAAUACAAAUGGUGGCCCACGUUUAGAAAACUUUUUUAGGGUAUUCUAUUUCAACAGAAUAGAUCAAACUUUUUAUAUAUUCUAUUUCAUCUAUAUAAACUAAACGGCCCACUCAACUUUCUUAAUUCAUCCAGGAAGUCCUUCCAGGUUUUGGAGGUUACACGGUUUAAGGCCCGGAUCGCAUAGUUGACUUGAUCGCGCCUUUUCCCAUAUAAAAUAAGAUCUGCUGCCCGGGAGAUGUCUUCAUCAUCAUCCAGGCUAAUUCCCCGGCUUUAGAUUCCAAUAUAUUGUCCCUUUCUUUCGCUGUCUCUAUUCUAUUGGUGGACGGUCGUAACUCUAAUAUAGGGCUUUUAAGCAUAAAAAUCAGCUGCAAUCUAGUUUUUUCACAAAGGCUGGUUGAGGCUCAGACUCAACCAUCUGUGCUUUGCAGAUGAUCUUUUUUUUUCAGCGGUGGUGAUCUGAAUUCUAGCCAAGAGCUUACUAGUAUCAUGACUCAUUUUAACAGAGUGUCUGGGCUUUCAGUUAAUGCCAAAAAAGUAAGAUCUUCUUCAGUGGUAUUUCCUUUUCUUUGAAAUAAACUAUUUUUGAGUGUGUCUUUAAUGAAGGGAUUUUACCAGUGAAAUACUUAUACCCUCCAUUCAUUUCCUUUUCUUUCCAGGCUAGCUCCCUCUAUAGCCGGUGGUUGAUGUAGAUGAGUAUGGGAAGACAAUGGUAGUUUCAUUCUAGGUCCCACUAAUUGUUGAAUAGUUGGUUUGAGUUUUUUUUUGGAUCCAUGCAAGCCAUUUCCAGUUGAAGUCAUAAGGUACCAUCCUGUUCCAGCCAGGAAGACAGCUCUAUCUCACAAGUUAGCUGGAUCUUUUAUUUAAGCCAAAGGCUAGAAAACCUAUUUCAAAUGAGUUUGGGCUCCGUUAAGUUAUCCUCAUUUCCUGAGAUAAGCGCAGUUCAACAAAACUAAAAGCUAGAUAUAUCGUUGUAAAGUAGAGCUAGACUGCAUGAUUGGAUUGUAUAGAAGGAUAAGAAGGAUUUUAAAAUUCCUUCUUUUUUUCUUAAAACGAAAGAAGAAAGAGAGUGGGAUGGGAUGAAAGUAAAUGCAAAGAGCUGAUUCGAUCAAAGAACCUCGCAGCUUUAGUGCAACAAGCCGAUCGAAAGCACUCAUCUUUAUCGACGAAAUGCUUUUUUGUCUCUUCCUCACUAAACACCCGCUUCCUGGCUCCUCCCUCUUUGCCUAGCGGUUAAGUAGAUAGUAGGUCCCCCCUGGCCCCGCAACCAAGAGUCACUCGUCGAAAGCUGACCAGGAAGACAAUAACUGCUAUUUCAAGAAAGCAUGGUUGGAGUUCUUCUAUUGACGAAGGGAAGAGGACGGUCUUACUUUUCAGAGAUACCUGACUUAUUAGUGGACUGGUCAUGUCAUAGCGGAAGGUCAGAGGUGGGAAACAAGGAAACAGAGGAAAUGCUUACUGGGACAUAGCCUUCGGUACGAGUUGAAGGGAAGAGGUUUGAUUGCUAAUAAAAUGAGUGGAAGAGCUGCUCGGUCAAAGGCAUUCUCUCAAGUAGCAAAGGCAAGACGGAAAAGCAGGAAUGAAGGUUGCUAGGUACCGCUCCGUGGUAACAUCUAUCGAUUCCGCUAUCGGGAAAGUCUGGCAAGGGAAAUAUUUGGCUGAGGAAUUAGAGGAACUUUGGUAGCACUCGGGGACGGAAUCAAUCAAAGAACUUAAGAAAUUGCCCAUACCGACAGCAGCUCCCGCUUUAGAAAAAACCAUAUCUCAUCAGGCAGGUAUACCUGACCCUUUUUUAGCUAGUUUCGGGAAAGUGGUAAGUUAAGUAAGUCAAGCCCUUCUAAGCGAAGAAUAGCGGAGAGAAAUGGGCAAUUGAAGCGUCUUUCUGUCUAUCGACGGCAGAGUCUAUUGAUCCUCCACAAUCCGGUAAUGCUUUUUCUCAAUUCAAUGUGGAGCGAUAUAAAUGUACUACCUUUCCUUUAUCUCAAUUCAAGUCAAGGCAGGCUAUCUUUGUUAUCAAGAAACAAAGCUGUCUCUAGUGAUUGAUCCGUUUGCUCUCGCCCUUCGGCUUUGUGGUCACUCAAGGUCCUUGGAUUUCGUGCUCAAUCUAGUUGGAGCAAAAGUCCCUGUGGAUAGAAUAAAAACCGUUUUUAUCUGGGAAGAGCGCCUUUGGAAACCCACUGCUGAAGCCGAAUAGGCAGUUAAAGCUGGAAUGAUGGGGGGCAAUCCUGCAGUAUGGCUUUAGUGCGUAGAUUCUCAGGCAGGCUCAUCGACUGGUGGAGGAGGGACACUUUACUUAUUAUCAGAAUAGAAAAGAGCUGUAUCUAUACUUUAGGAAGGGGGAUCAAACUAGUUAUGUUGACAGACAUGAACUCCUAUAGAAGCAGAUGUUCGAGGUCUGGUCCAAAGAUACCAUGCUUGCUUAAGCCAAUCCAUAGGUUCAAGCGAAAGAACACUUAUUCACAGCAAUAUCUAGACCUGAUGAAGAUGACUGCUAGUCAAAUACCUAAAUCCUUUUGAAUUCAUUAGUAAACUCUUUUAAGAGUCAUUAAAAACGAGCAACACCACGUAGGGCAGCGUCCACGCGAACUAGCCUCUUCCUUAGCAAGUCAGUGGGAGAGCGCCAUCGGUCAAGAGAAAUGGAAUCCGUUGUUAAGUGGGUACCGGACCCGGUAGAAUUGGCAUCACUUCCUUCACUCCACAGAGGACUCGGGAUAAGAUCGUUCCCAAGCAGAAGGAAAAGCUUUCGAACUAGGAGUCAGAACGAACUCAUGAAGCUAUCCUUCUUCUAUUGCUACUUUCAGAGAGAGAGAAUAGGGCGUACGAAAGGGGACCCACCUUGAGAAGGGUGUCCCAUUGCGGAGUAGUUAAACGAGUAUUUUGGUAUACCACUUGUGCACCUAAACCUAUGCUUAAGCUUACUAGAACUUCAACCUCAAGUUCGUUAACGUCAAUGCGUCUCAUCUUCUUGAACCUAUUCUAUGGAUAAAUGGGCACCAUCUGUCUCCUAAGGGCAACUAUCCAUCCCUUUUUCUUUCAAGAAUGCGGGUACCGUAGUAGCAAAGCAAGUGAAAUAUGCCAAAGGGAACCGCUCGGAUAUAGACGGCAAGGAAAAACGUCGGCUAAAGAACAGAACUAUUCUAUUGUAUUGAUGGCCCCGAAAGAAAGUGGAUCUGUGAGUGGAGGCCAUCCAUCCCUUUCUGAUGAAACCUUUGUUGCCCUAGCUUGAAUUGAAGGUUUGGCUAAGGAUGGGGAUCCGGUGUCUUCAUCUAUACCAUCAGAGAAGAAGGCUUGCCAAGAAUGGACGAAGGUAUGAUUCUAGGAAAUCUAGAUUUGAAAGAAGGAAGCACCCGAGGAGCAAUCAAACGGACAUUUCUACGAGUGAACUCGCUAAAGCUGAAGAUCCACCAUCCAAUUUAGGCAUUAGGCAGAACUCUCUCAAUCCAGGAACUAGCUCCUAUCUCGAUGAUUCCAUUUCUCUUUUUCAGAGUUAGCUUCUUUCCUAUGGUAAAGAGUACUCUUGUUUCCUAGUCGAGGGAUAAUCAAGUCAUUUCGAAAGGGGAUUUAUCCGUUCCCCUAGCCAUCGAGCAACUGCGAGAAACACCGCGCCCGUGCCCCCGUCGCUCGCCGGAGCAGCCGUGCGUGGCGUACCAAUUUUUUAUCUGGUGGAUCUUGUCUGUUCUUUCGAAAGUGUUUCUACAAACGAGUGAGGUAAACCCAUCUCGGUCGAAUAAUUCGUAUCUUUAGACCAUUCAGAGCCGUUUGCAUUAAGUGUUGGGAUUUAGUUUGUUGUCAUUACCCUCAACUUCAUUGCCGUCCACCUCUUGCCGUGUUAUUGGCUAGAGAAAGACAACCGAUUGUACUACUACAGUGUUGAGUACCCCAGUUGCUCCGCGGGUGAUUAUGCCCUAAAUUCUCAGGAGUGGUGGAAUGGAUUGCUCCUAUCAAGGGUUUCCUAGCUUGCUUUCCUAGAUUUAGCUUUAUCUAUCUUUCCGAGAUGACCAACUGCUCUUUCUUGCCAAUCUACUUUAGAUUUAUUAAUACUUUCAUUGCGGGACCUAUCCCCGAACAACCAUUGCUUUUCUUCCGCGGUUUCUUUAGUUUCUUCUUGAUUUGAUUGAAGUUUAGGGAAUUGGAUGGACUGGUGUCUUUGGAUAUUAUCCGUCCUACUUAUGAUCUUCCAAUUGAACACACUAGUAUUUUAUGGAUUCUUUCCCCGGUAGUGUAGUCAUCUCCAAAAGGGAUGAUACAUAUUUAUCUGUCCUAGGAUGCGCCGUUCGUGAUAAGCUUAUCCGCUUCCUUUCGCCGGUAGUGUGAAUCUUCUCGAAAGCGCACAGCAUAGUCCAGUCAGUGUAGCCAGGGCAUCAUGAACGGAUUCCUCAAGAGGAAGGUAGGGCCAUAUCUAUCCAAGAAGAAAGACCUGGUAAACAAUUAUGCUACUUGACCAAUGGAUAAAGUAUAGAUCUCAUGGCUGGCUACUAUUCAACCCUGGCAUUGGGGAUCAGGAACGGGGUAAAGUAUGGACUUUGGCUAAGGAUGGGGAUCCGGUUGUGCCGUGCCGGCCCCGGGAAUCGGCGAACUACGCUACACAGUCAGAUACCUAAGCGAACGGAUAAGGGAAAGCCCGCUAUAUUAUAUAUAGUAAUCACCUGCCAAAAGGAAAGCCUGACCGAUAAUAAUAAUAGGUCUAUGCGCCGAACAAGCCACGGUAUAUUAGAGAUAGUAAGGAGUUGUAUACACGGGGGUAUGCAUUCAUGUCACGCUUUCUGUGUGAUAAGAGGUUGCUAGCUAGCAAGUAUAGAAACAGGAGAUAUGCGUAGUUAACAGAAGCAAGGGAAUAUGCGUGAGUUGAUUUGAGAGUUUUUUUUUAGUUGCCACCGAAAAAGCAAUUUCAUCUAAAGGGAAAAUGCAUUGCAUUUUCAAGGGAUUGCCAAGCUAGGCUAGGGAUCGUCCGCGGGUAUCAGGAAUAUCGUAUUUAUCUCUUCUAAUCUAGAUCCCACUUCCCUCCACUUCUUGCCUCACGCCCGUCCUGACUCCACAUUAACGACUGUCCUUCCACCCAAUUCCCCACACCCUUGCAUCACAUCUCCAACCCCUGCCUCCACGCGAUCUUCCACAAUCGUACCCCCCACCUCUGAAGCUUGCCCCCGACGAACCUGUCUGCACCUGCGGGCCCGCGCUUACAUCAUUGGCAUCGCAUGAUUAAACAUCAGCACGCGCACUUCCCUCCGUUUUCGAUGCCGACAGGGGGCUGCUAGGGGGUGUAAAGUUUCGUUUCGGUCGUGUCAGACGACAUGCAGGGGGGCAAUGGCUGCCAACGGAAUCUAUAAUAAUUCGAUACUAGGUCAACUGUACCAUCGGACUUGUAAGAACAUGUAAAAUGUACCACACGAGGUUGUACCAGCUGUGUGCAGUCCUCCGGCACGGGUUAAGUGUCCUGCAUAGAUCUUCCCCUCUCUCCCAAAGAAGAGAUGUUCGCUUCAUAGCCUUCUCUUCCGAGAUAAACCCUACAAAGGAUCCUAAUCGUGCUAGCCUUUCAUGGACUCUUCUUGGAUUUCCUUUCAGCUGCGCCCAGCACCUCUCUAGUUUCUCUACGAGAUGGAGAUGGCUCAUUCUCUAGUUUUCCUACGAGAUAUAAGUAAGUUUCUAUCGUACUUUGAAGUUCAGGAAGGAGUUAUUAAUUAAGACGAAGAAGAACUGGGUGGGGAUAUGCCUUUCCCAUAACAAUAGAAAGAAUCCAAGCCAAUAUACACUAAACUAUCACUAUAGAGUUUUCGCCUACCUAUGAAAAGUGAGAUGAGAGCUUUGUGCUAAUAAUUUAUUAUAAAGGUGUACCUAUCGACCCCAGGUAAUUAAUGCCCUAUCCUUCUACUUAAAAAACGUUACGUUAGACUUGACCAACUGUUAAUACCAAUCCGGCAGCAAUAACUACUACUAAUGCAUAUUCAUAUCCCACUAGUAGACUUAGCAGACUGUGACCUAGCCAGUCUAUUUGUUGACAACAGACCAGUACUAUCCAUCAAUGCCACAAAGACCAUAGACGACCUCUAUUUCGUGGAAGAACUCCUUCUCAUAUGAUGCAGGGCAAUAAGACCAACUGCCCGCCCUACCUAGUGAGAAGAAAGCUUAUAAA
rnacentral:lncRNA from 1 species